UCAACGCUGGUUAGAACAAUAUAAUCCACUCUGCAAGAUAAAACCUUUUGCAGUUCAAUCAAUCAAAUUUUAUGUUGACUGCAACAGGAGUCAAAAGGUAUGAUAUCAUUAAUUCAUUAUGCUCCGGAUGGAACUAGUAGAAAAAUUAGAUGUUUUCGAAGUUUUAAGAUGUCAACAUUGGUGCUAUUUUUUGUGUUUCAUAACAAAUUCAGAGUUAGCAAGCCAAUCUACGAACAAUCAUUUACACACGGUUUGUGCCUCUAACAUGUAUUCAAUCUUCAAGAAGACUCAGCUCUUUCAGUCCUCAUAAUACUGCUGCCAUAAGAAGCCAUCAUACCGCACAAAGUAAGAAUUGUACAUUAAACCAAUCUAUGUAGUCUGCACAGUAUUUUCAUUAUCAAUCCAAUCCAUUUAAUCAUAGAGUUAUUUCCUGCCAAAUAAAUCAUCAUAUUUAAACAAAUGCUCAUCAUGUUUCUAAGAAGUUCUGCACAACUUCACUUUUGUGUUUCUCCCUGAUAAAGUUCCGGGCUCAGCAAGCUUGAAAUAGACCACCUAUCACUAGAUGCUUUUCUUUUCUAUUCUUUCCUCAUUAUCUAUCAGUAACCAUACCAUAGCAUUUCUUAGCAAUUAAUCACAGGUUUCCAACAACUAAAUGAAUCAAACAGUCAUGAAAUCAGCACCUACCAUGUAAAGAUUUUGGAAAUUAUAAUAAUCUAACAACAAAAAUGGGGAAAGAACGUGUUUAGAUAGAUACCCCCAGCUAGCAAUAGCCUUGGCAGUGUUGUAAGGCUCCAUAGGAUCGGGAGGCGGGGGAUUCCUACUCGUCUUGACAGCGCAGAAUCUACAGCCCCGGGUACAGGUAUCCCCCAACAGCAUAAUGGUAGCGGUGGCGACGCCGUCUCCGCCGCCAUUCCAGCACUCCCCGAUAUUAGGGCACUGGGCUUCCUCGCAGACAGUGUGGAGAUUCAACCUGGACAAGGAAUCUCUCACCUCAUCGUACUUCUUCCCCUGCGGAGCUUUCUGCCGCAGCCACUCUGGUUUCUUGACGUUCGGAUCCCUCCCCGUAUAAGGCCCCACUCCGCCCGGGUACGGCGGAGGAGGGCCCACAGCACCAGCACCCGCACCUGUGGUCGUGGUCUUGAAAUUCGUCUUAUUGAGGGAAUUGUUGGGUUUUAGUUCCAGUGGGGAUUGAGAUUCACAUUUGAUGACGGAAACUCUAGUGUUAGAAUGAUGACGAGAAGCGUAUAACAAAGGAGGAGGAGAAGGAUUGGUGGGGGAUUUUGUGAGAUAUUGAGCAGGAAUCAUCAUUACUUGGUAAAUUGAAAAUGGGAAAAUUAAGUGCAAGAAAUGUUGUUGUUUUCUCCUUUCUUCUUCUUCUGAUUGAGAAGAGGAAUGGGGGAACGGAGAAGGAGAAGAAAAGGGGAACCGGGGUUGGGAGUGGCGAAAAUGACGAUGCGGAAAGAGUGAAAAGAAUGAGGAAUUAAAUGUAAAGUUCGGUGGUUUUGUUGCAGAAGUGGGUGGGCAUAGAGAGCUCCGUCCGUCGUCGGCCUACACUGGACUUUGAUGUCCAUUCCAAUUCUGUUGGCAGUUGGCACAAUGUUAACAUUUAACAGAUUAAUUGCAAAUCACUCCACAACUUUACAUGGGUUGCAGAUAGCACCCAGCCCCAACUCCGACUUCAAAAUUCUCGUCCAUCCCAAUUUUUUGGCUGCUGCUGUUGUCUUUUCCUCUUUCUUCAUCUCCGUAGCAUCCAAUCUCGAUGAGACAUGGGACGGGUACAAGGCCAAGCAGCAGCCCCAGAGGACGAAAAGAACCCUUCUUCAGCGAAUUCACCUCUUGAUUCUUUGAUUGCUGGUACAAUACUCCUCCUUUCUUUCUCUUUCCUAGAUUGUUGCUUCUGGUAAUUUGACCUGAUGUUGGACUGAAUAGACGAGCCUUAAACCCUGAACCCCAAACCCUGAUCAAAAGUUGCUAACUUUUCUUUUUCUUCUUUUGGGGUGCAGAAGCUGCAGCAUUUGGCGAUUAUUAAGCAUGCUAAUACAAUUUUCUGCUUUUGGGGAUUUUUUUUUUUAAUAUAUUGCGCUUCAGACUUGGGACUGACUGAAAUUUAUGUGUCUUUAAAAUUGGCAUCGUUGAAAUGUUAUAGUCAGUGGAGGAAAAAGCUCAAAGAGCACUGGAAUGGCCUUGCAUUGCUCAUUUGAGGACUGGUCCUUGUGGCUUCCAGUUCUCUGAUGCCUUCCUCUGUUAUGCUCCAGAGAAGGUAAUUACCAAAACUUAAACUCAGGUUUUUCUCUUUUCUUCCCCCCCUUUUUCUGCCUUGCACUGAUUCAGUAUGCAAUUCAAGUUACUGGCAAAUCACCUGAAAUACAAUUUUUUGAGUUGGCCUAACAUACUAUCUAAUUGGUGUGAUUACUAGCAUUAUAAUCCAAGUGUAAGAAGUAUGAUUUUUCAAUCCGAUCAGGGCCAGAAACAAAUGUUUGUGCAGUGUUGAUAUGGUUGUGGGGUUUUUGGGGCAAUUUUUUAUAGCUUAUUAGAAACCAAAUCUGACAUAGAUGGUGAUCGAAUGGGCCGGAUAAUCAGCCACAAUUGCUCCAGAAAAUUCCCACAUCUCUUCCUCCCCAUGUGUGCGUGCGCUAUAUAUAGAAGGAGAUAGAGAGAUGGAAUUAGCUGCAAUUGCCCGAGAAAUAAUCCCUGUUAUGUUGUCUGUGUCUGCAUAGAGCCCGUCCUUGCACGUCUCUUCUGUUUUUCACGAGGACUUGUGAUGGUUGAAAAUUGGUGGGAGACUGCAACUAAACCUAAAGCCAAAAUUUUGACCACAUCAGUUAUACUUUGCAAGAGGAGAAUAAACUUGAAAAUGAGAUGAAGUCAACCUUAUCAAAGCCCCUAAAUCAAAACUAGUAUUUACCUUGGCGCUCAAAGAUUUAAUCUUGAGAAAGGAAGACCUGAUAAUCGACAUGAAAUUAGUUUUUCCAAGAAAUCUCGUGUCCUUCGCAUCUCUCAUGUUCUAGUAUGCAUGUUUGCUGAUGUGAACAUUUGUGCUCGCUCUCAUACACCAGCACAUGUCUAUGCUGGUGCAAUUGUCCGCGGCUUGCCACAGCUUACGCUGCAAUCAGGCCAUGUAAGCUCUAUAGCAGAUUAAAAUUUACUCAAGUGUUAACUACUCCAAGCUAAAAUUUAGCAGGAAAUUUGGCCCUGUUAUGUAGUCACUCUGUAUUCUUAAAUUUUAAUCCUAUACUCUUUACAGAGCAUGUUGUUGGCAGUUAUUGCUUGAAAACCUUAUGAUCCGCACUUCCAAAUCUUUAAUUAUUUGGUUUGAGAUAUGCAUUUAUAUUUGAUCUGUGUAUUGAAUUGGGUUAUAUGAUCUUCAUAUUGAUCUGUCCUUUCUUUUAGUCAUUCAAGAAGAAGAAAGUGUUGCAUUCAACUUCCACACUGUUAAUGCUUGAUAGGAUAAGCAAAUGCACAAUCACAGUUCCUUUAUGCAUACUGCGUUUGCCAUCAAUAUAGGAUGUUCAUAUUUCAUAUUUUUUUUUCCUCCUUUUGUCUAUAUGUCUGUCUCUUGUCGCAGCCUCUCAGUUUGUCUGCUACUUUUCCCUGCAGGGUUCGGACUGUGUUAGACCAUUUGUGGCUCUGCCGAGUUGUUGAUACAAACUCAACUGUGCUUGGCAAACUCGCAUACCAACAAAUAGGAUCUAGACAAGCGACUCCAUGGUUUGAUUAUGCGGGACCCUAAACCCCCUUAGAAUCCCUUGGAUGAGAACUAAGAUUGAAUCUUAACCCUCAAGAAAAGAUUAAAAGAACUUACGGCUAUUGGUAGAACGGGCUACGAGCAAGUAUGACUCUUGCUUGAUAAGCUAAGAAGAACACUUAGAACAAAAUCUAAGAUAUUCAAAGUUAAUCGAAACUAAGAGAAUACUCUUAAAACUGAAAAUUGUUUAUUGAUUAUUGAAUGAAUAACAAGCUUGGCCAAGCCUUGUAUUUAUAGGCUUUGGUACUCCUAAUCCUAACUAGCAAUGGAAAACCAUAUUAACUCCAAAUAACCCUAAACCUAGCUUACUAAGGAAGCUAAUAAACGAAGCUCAAAUGGGCUGGUCGGUUAGGGCACACAUGGGCUUUCUAACCUUUAUUCUCAAGCCUAUAUUAGUCGCUUAACUCGAUAGUGAAGCCCAUUAUGCAGUUCAUCCUUUUUCUAGUAAUUUGAGGCUUCUUCAUGAACUUGGAGUAGGCUCACCAUCGUGUGUUUAGCCCCUUGAAUCCUUCCAAUGCGUGUAUGAACAAUUUGGAGAAAUGUUUGGAGGUUCUCACGCAUCUUUCUUGCUCUUGCUCGAGUCAUUGGUCCAGGGUUUAUUGAUGGUGCGUGUAGAUCAUUCUUACUCGAGCCUCGUGAAGUGACGACUUGAGGUCUUGGUGGUUCCUCAAGAUCAUUCUUACUCGAGCCUUGUGAAGUGACGACUUGAGGUCUUGGUGGUUCCUCAUCAUUCCCUUCCUCUUGAGAAGGAUUUGUCCUCAAAUCGAAGUCGUUACUUACAUCAAAUGGAAGUAAGUCAGCAACAUUGAAAGUAGAGCUAACAUCGUACUCACCUGGAAGGUCAAGUUGGUAGGCGUUGUCGUUGACUUUGGCAAGGAUUUGAAAGGGCCCAUCUCCACGGGACAUCAACUUGCUUCGCCUCUUCUCAAGAAAACGCUCCUUGCGCAUGUGUAGCCACACCCAGUCUCCAGGUUCGAACAGUAGUUGCCUACGUCCCUUGUUUGCAUGUUUGACAAAUUGCUCCGUGCAUUUCUCAAUGUUUGCUCGUGCCUUCUCAUGCAGUUGUCUCACCACUUGGGUCUUUUUCUUACCAUUAAGACUAGCAUGCUCACUCAAGGAUAAGGGCAUAAGAUCUAGUGGUGUUAAUGGGUUGAAACCGUACACCACCUCAAAAGGAGAAAAUUGAGUAGUAGAGUGGGUAGAACGGUUAUAAGCAAAUUCAAUGUGAGGUAAACAUUCUUCUCAUGUUCUCAAGUUGCGCAUAAUUAAGGCACGUAGCAUAGUAGACACAGUCCUAUUAACUACCUCGGUUUGGCUAUCAGUUUGAGAGUGACUAGUAGUUGAAAACAAUAACUUAGUGCCUAAUUUAGACCAAAGUAUUUUCCAAAAAUUGCUCAAAAAUUUAACAUCACGAUCAGAGACUAUAGUGCGGGGAAUACCAUGCAAACGGACUACCUCUUUAAAGAACAGGUCAGCAAUGUAUGGUGCAUUAUUAGUUUUGUGACAUGCAAUAAAGUGUGCCAUUUUUUAGAACCUAUCUACUACCACAAAGAUGGAGUCAUGUCCUCUUUUUGUCCUAGGUAAACCAAGAAUAAAGUCCAUAGAAAUAUCCACCCAAGGGUCACUAAAUAUAGGCAAAGGCAUGUAGAGACCAUGUGGGUUUACCUUGGACUUGACGCGAAGGCAUUGAAUGCAUCGUGCAACUUCUCUCUUGACAUCCCUUCGCAUGUUUGGCCAGUAUAAGUGCUCCUGCAAGAUAGAGAGAGUUUUACCUAUCCCAAAGUGUCCUAUUAGUCCCCUACUAUGGGAUUCUUUAACUAGUAAUUGACGAAUUAAGCAUUUAGGGAUGCAUAAGCGGCCUAAGUAGUAAAGGAACCCGUUGUCUAUGAAGAAUUUCUCUUGGGCCUUUUGCUUGCACGCUUCAAACACUAACUUAGAAUCGUCAUCAGUUGUGUAUAAGUCUUUGAUAAGCUCAAAACCAAGUAAUUUAGCAUCUAAAGUAGCAAGAAGUGUGUACCUUUGUGAGAGUGCAUCAGCGAUUAUAUUAGACUUACCAGUCCUGUAUUUUAUAACAUACAAGAAAGUCUCUAUGAAUGAGAUCCAUCGCACAUGUCUCUUACUUAGUUUGUUUUGAGAUUUCAGAAACUUGAGUGAUUCAUGGUCAGUGUGUAUGACAAACUCCUUGGGUCGUAGGUAGUGUUGCCACACUUGUAGUGCUCGAAUCAAAGCGUACAACUCCUUGUCAUAGGUGAUGUAGUUCAACAUUGCACCAUUCAGUUUCUCACUAAGGUAAGCAACUGGUCGUCCUCUUUGGAUCAACACUGCUCCUAUGCCGAUCCCUGAUGCAUCACAUUCAAUUUCAAAAGUUUUAGAGAAGUCAGGAAGAGACAACACGGGUGCGUGUGUGAGUGCGUGUUUAAAAGAGUUAAAGGAUUUGUCCUGUUCUUCACCCCAGUGGAAUGAUACAUCCUUUUUAAUAAUGGAGGUCAAUGCUGCGGCUUUGGAGCUAAAAUCACGCACAAAGUGUCGAUAGAAACUUGCAAGUCCAUGGAAGCUCCUUACUUCCCCAAUGGUGGUCGGUCUUGGCCAUUCUUGGAUGGCUUUGAUUUUAUUCUCAUCCACCUUAAUGUCCUGUGAACUCACAACAUAGCCUAAGAACGCUAGUUGGUCAGUGCAAAAAGUACAUUUCUUUAGAUUAGCAUAUAGGCGUUCUUUUCAAAGUACUUCUAACACAAGUUUAACAUGCUACAAAUGUUCCUUUAGACUUGUGCUAUAAAUGAGAAUAUCAUCAAAAUAUACUACUACAAAUUUGCCUAAGUACUCACGCAAGACAUGAUUUAUUAGUCGCAUAAAGGUGCUUGGUGCAUUAGUAAGGCCAAAAGGCAUGACUAACCACUCAUAUAACCCGUACUUAGUCUUAAAUGCAGUCUUCCAUUCAUCCCCCUCUUUAAUUCUAAUUUGAUGAUAUCCAGAUUUCAGAUCAAUUUUUGUGAAUAUAAUUACCCCGUGUAAUUCAUCUAACAUGUCAUCUAGACGAGGGAUGGGAUGGCGAUACUUUACCGUUAUGGUAUUGAUAGCUCGGCAGUCCGUGCACAUCCUCCAAGUCUUGUCUUUCUUUGGCACAAGGAUGACUGGAACAACAUAAGGACUUAAGCUUUCUCUUGCCCAUCCUUUGCCUAGAAGCUCCUCCACUGGCCUUUGAAUCUCCUUGGUCUCCUCGGGGUUGCUUCUAUAGGCCGGUCGGUUAGGUAGGGGUGCACCAGGUAUGAGGUCUAUUUAGUGUUCAAUACUCCUCAUGCGUGGCAAUCCACUUGGCACAUCAUCGGAGAAAACGUCCUUAUACUCCUGCAAAAGCUUAGAAAAAGAACUAGACAAUGAAGGGUCAAAUGUGUUAGCAUCAUUCGAAACUUCCUUGGUAUAAAAUAGGAGCAUGGUUUUGCCUCCAAGUAACCCUUUCCUCACAUCUUUGGCUUUUGCACUUAGUAAUAUUUUUCCCUCUUGUUUUACCUCAAGAUCCGUCCCAUUUAUUGCCUUUUCCCGCUCAUUUUGCACGGAUCUUUUCUUUUCUUUUCUUUCUUGUUUUUCAAUUUUUUUCCUCUCAUCAGCUUUUUCACACUCAUGCUGGAUUUUCAUUUGGUCCUCAUACACUUGCUUAGGUGUGAGUGGUGCAAGUGUGAUCUUCUUUCCUUUAUGUAGAAAAGUGUACAUGUUGGUACAUCAAGUCUAGUACUUCUAUCAAAUUGCCACGGUCUACCAAGUAACAUAUGACUAGCCUGCUUAGGUACUACAUCACAAAGUACUUGAUCCUCAUAAGUGCCAAUUUUAAAGAAAUGAGUACCUAUUGAGACAUUCAGAUGUCUCCACAAUUAUUUAGCCAUUGUAGACGGUAUGGUCGGAGGUGCUCGCGAGUUGGAAGCCCUAAUGCUUUGACCAUCACUGAGCUUGCUACAUUGGUGCAGCUUCCAGGGUCUAUUACCAAACUACACACUUUACCAUUUACAUGGCAUCGGGUGUAGAAGAUGUUCUCCCGUUGGAUCUCCUCUUCCUUAAUAUGUGUGGCUAGUGUGCGCCAUGCCACGAGUCCUAACCCCACGGACUCCUCCAAUGGUGAUUGUAUGACCGCUUCCAUGUCGCCUUCCUCUUCUAAUGAUGGCAUUUUCUUUUAUUUUUCCUCGUCGUCGGAUAUUAUCUCUCCACUUGGAAGUACGAUCAUUGUUCUUUGAUUUGGACAUUGGCUAGCAAUACGGUCAAGUCCUUGGCACCUCCAACAUUUGGUGUCAUGACUCCUUGCUUGAGGAGGUUCAUUGUUCAACUUUGAAAUGACUUUACCUUCCUCCUUGAACGGCGUCGGCUUUGGUUGGAGUGGUAUAGCUCCCCGAGGGUUUGAACUCCCUCCUCGGAUUGCUAGUACGGCUAUAAGAGGGUGAUGGUGUAGAAAAUGUCCUAUUUUGGCCCCUCCUCUUAAGCUUUCGUUCCACCUUCAAAACUUUCUCGAGCAUGUCUUUUAUUUCCACGUAAUGGUACAUCUCGACCUUAUCCGUGAUCUCCGCUUGUAGACCAUUAAGGAAUCUUGCCAUGGUAGCUUCUCGAUCCUCCUCUAUGUCCGCUUAGAGCAUGAUUACCUCUAUCUCCUUAUAGUAAUCUUCGACACUUUGAUUUCCAUGCCUUAAGUUUGUAACUUUGGUACAAGUCACGAUGGUAAUAGCUAGGAACAAAGUGUUUGCGUAUAAGGACCUUCAACUCGGAUCAAGUAGCGAUCUCAAUGUCUCCACUACGGCUUCGAUUAGUGAUAAUUUGGUCCCACCAGAUGAUGGCAUACUCGGAGAAUGCCAUGACUGCUAGUUUCAGUUGUUGCUCCUCUGUAUAGUCAUUGUAAUUGAACAUAAGUUCAACUUUCUUUUCCCACUCGAGGUAGACAUUCAGAUCGGAUUUCCCUUCAAAGGGUGGCACUUGCAUUUUGAUGCCUUUAAUUGCUUCUCCCCUUGGUUGGUAGCUCUUGUUAGCCCUCCUCGUGUGUGGUCCAAGUUCAUCGUCGGAAUAAUUGGACCCUUCCGACUCAUGUUGGACUGUUCUCCAUCGGUUCAUACUCCCUCGUGUGCCGCUUUGGGUAGCUUCCACCUUGUCAAGCUGUUCAUGGACAAGUUCUAAUUUUUGGUCCAUGAUUCGUUGGAUGUCACCCUUUAGGGAUUCGGCAAAGAUUUUAAAGUCAAAAACCGAUGGGCUAUCCCCCCCUGCAUUAGGCAUGCUUGGUAUUCUUGCAAGAAAAAGUUUAGCUUGAAAAAAUAAUUUCCUCACUUGCUCCCUUAGUGUUUACUCUCGCUCUCGUGUAUCACACACUUUUUUUUUCUUUUUCCCUUUUUUUUUGGCUCACAGAAAUAUAUUCUCAAAGCUUGAUUUGUACAUUUGAAGAGGUUAGAUCAGCUCAAUAAGUUGUUCAACGGCUUACCAAUGGUAAAAUCACUUGGCACGUGAGAGGAGUUUGAAGGACCCGAAACAGAAUUUUUGGUCUUGACUCAAUGGAAACGAAUAAUUGCAGAUCAGUUUUGAAGCUUAACAAAUGAUACAAUUAAAUGACUCACUAAGACAGAUUUGGUAACGUCUCUACUUGACUCAACCGACUCUAUUAAAGCAAAGACACAAUGGCAGAAAUUUAUGACUCCUAGAAGGACUUACCCGAUCUUGCACUUGGUUGUGUUUUUGGAAGGUGUAAAGGAGGGUUUCUUGGACCCUCGUUGUGUAAGAGUGGCGGCUGGUAGCUAGUUCCCCACGUGAUUUUAUGUUACCAAUCAGAAAUUGGGAUUCCAAGUAGAACUAGAAUUUGCUUUUACAAACCCAAGUCAACUAGGCUUCCUAAUUCUAAUAGGUUUCCUUAAGUUGGUAGGAUCGAAACUGGUUGCUUUCUUGCGUCUCCUUUUUUUUGUUUUGUUUUUGUGGUAGUAUUGAUGCAAACCAGAUCUCUUUUUCUUCUCCCAAUUCGGUCUCAACCCCAAAACAAAGGUUACGGCUAUGGUUUGUGAGCAAGAACAGUCGCCAAUGCAAGGAUCAAGAACUAGUUAGUUGGGUUUCUAGAAGUUCAAGAACUCCCACGGCUUUCAAGAUUUUCGUCCAAGUUUUCUUGGCAAUUCUAGAUUUAAUUUCAAGGUUUUCAAGAAUAUCAAGAACAAGGUAAUUUAGCCGUGCAAGGUACAAUUUUCCCAACCCCUUUGUUCAAGAUUGUAACCCAAAUUGCUUAAAGCAAUAUAGCGAUCAGAAUUCUGUUUCUUUUUUUUUUUUAUGCAACACUUGAAGACUCUAAGACACUAAGACACUAAGACACAACAAUUAGUGAACCAAAAUUGGUCAGAAACAACAGGUUCAAUUAAGCAAGCAAUUGGACACCAAUACGGACAGCAAAGGAACAAGGGAAACUAACGGUAAUUUUUUUUUUUGUGUUGCAUUUUGAAGAAGACAGAAUUGAGGCAAUAAACUAUGACUCAAAUAAAACAAGAAAAAGGUAAGAAAUAACCUGGAAGUUGUCAACUAACUCUGAUUACCAGAUGAUACGAACCCAACCAUGCUUGGCGAACUCGCAUACCAACAAACAGGAUCUAGACAAGCGACUCCAUGGUUUGAUUAUGCGGGACCCUAAACCCCCUUAGAGUCUCUUGGAUGAGAACUAAGAUUGAAUCUUAACUCUCAAGAAAAGAUUAAAGAAACUUACGGCUAUUGGUAGAACGGCGCUACGAGCAAGUGUGAUUCUUGCUUGAUAAGUCAAGAAGAACACUUAGAACAAAAUUUAAAAUAUUCAAAAUUAAUCGAAACUCAGAGAAUACUCUUUAAACUGAAAAUUGUUGAUUGAUUAUUGAAUGAAUAACAAGCUUGGCCAAGCCUUGUAUUUAUAGGCUUUGGUACUCCUAAUCCUAACUAGCAAUGGAAAACCUUUGGCUGCGUUUGGAUCCCCAUUUUUUUCAAAAACUGUAUUUGUAGUCCAAAAACAUGGCAGGAAAAUUUCAAACAUCUACAGUGUACCUUUUAGAAAACAACACCGUUUUAUUUAAUUUCUGUCUCGUCUCUGUUUUUGUGUCCCAAAUACGGAACAAGUGUCAAUAUUCAGUAGUCGAAAGAGCACUUUCCUCUUCUCUCGCUGUCUUUGCCCAAGCUUCACCUUUCCUCCAUUAUUGCUCUGGAACAACCGCAGAACCCACAUUCAACUUGAGUUGAGCUUCUCCCUGUAGACGGCACCGGUUGUACGGCUAAUGCAGGUCACCUAUGGUAGGUGAAGAGAUAUCCUCCAGUAAGACUGCUGUUGCCGAAGCUGCACUAUUUCCGCCAUUGUUGCCCUUGAACAACCUGUGUUUGGACAUUCAACUUGCGGCGAGGUUGUUCGACCAUUGCGGCUCUAGAUCUACGGCAAAAUCAAAUCACUUGAGGCACCUUCUUCUACACUGUUAAACGGUCAUCUCAGCUCAUCAGGUUAGUACUACCAGAAUGAGUUCUCGACAGUAUGUUUUGCAUUUCAAGUUUGUUUUGAUGCAAUGAUACAGCAAGCUCCAUCUUUCUCAUAGCCCCAUUUUGAUGUAUUGAGACCUUCAUAUCAUCCCUGUAUUAGCAUUCUGCCCAAACACCCAAAUCUCGUCUGAUUUGUGUAAGCUGGUUCAAAAACCCCAAAAUUUGAAUGUCUGUCCGUUGGUAUGUUAAUUAACAAGCCUCUGUGAAAUUUUUUGUGGUAUGAACAUAUAGUUGUCUCCAGUUUGUCUUCAGCUUCAGACGGUUAUCAAUUGGCAAUGGUUAUGCUUCCUGUUUGGGUUCAAUUGCACAAAAUGUCUACCAGUUGCAAUUGAUUAUCCAGUUGCAAUUUUUAUUAGGCUAAUAAUCUCUUAUAUCACUGGGUUUAGACUGAAGCUUACAUAGACAGUUGUAACUUUAGAGUGAAUUAUCCAUCAUGUUGUGGCCGACACUUUGCCAAAACUGUUAUUGCAGGGAGGUAGGCUUCAUUCUUAUAUGCACUAGCUUCUGAUAUAGUGUCGCUGUCCUGUCUUUUUGGCCAUUUACCACACCAGGUCCGUAUAUUCUCCACCAUGGAAGUACUUCAUUUCUAGCAAUAAAAUUCAAAUUAGUGCCUGUUGUACGGCUAUUUCUUUAAUUCUCAGAAAUUGUUACGUUUUGUAGCUGCUUUCACAUCUCGGAUAAUAGAAAAUGUGCUUCACAGUGAUAAUACCUGCGGCCAUUCAAUUUACUGCUUGACAGAUCUUGUUUAGAGGGAAAGAAUUUUGUUUUCACACACUGGAAGUUAAUAUCCAUUAGUAUUCGUUCCUUUAUACAUGCACCUUCUACAAUUUCUAUGAAUUAAGAGUUGGAAAGUAGUUAUCAAUUAAAAUUGUCGGUUGAGCUUGCAUAUGCCUUUAUUUCAAAAGCUCCCGAUUGGGUCUCUUCGUUUAAAUAGAUGGUAAUAUGUGCUGUAACCCAUAGCACUGGUAUCUAAUAUGGCUUUUGGACACUGUUAAGAGUCUAAUGGCAACAAUAGUUCAAUUGUUUCCGCAGCUUAAAUAGCCUCAUACUAGUAUUUUUAUGUAUUAAGUUUAGCUCAGAUACGGUUAACCUUCUUCGCUUUGAGGUGAACCAUUUAGGUGAUACUUUUUAGAAGCCUAUUGCAACUACAUGCCCCCUGUUACUCGACGUGCUUGGAAGGGUAUGAACUACUUCCACGCUUGGGGUCUUUAUUAGAUUAUAUGAGUAUUUAUUCAUUGAUGGAUAACGCUAACUUCUCUCGCUGUCCAGCUUUUCAAAAAAGUAGGCGCCUAGGCAGUUAUUCUUCGAAGUCAGCUUGUGUAGAGAACGAUUUGCAGCUGUGCAUCACCAACUACUUCAAGGUAAAGCUGUUUAAGCCAUACAAACUGGUUGAAUGCCAUAGAUUAGAAAGAAACUAUGCCAUGCAAACUGUUUAAGCUAAAAAAUUUCCUUUGCCAUGCGUUGUUUCCAUCCUAAACCCAAAAAAGAUGAGUUGACCACGAGCAAAGUAUUCCCAGCGUAAUAGUUUCAUUGAACAACACGAAAUUGCAUUUGCCCAACAUCUAUUGAGUAUGCAUAGGAUGGGAGAAAUUACCCCUAACAACAUCGGGAGUCAUGCCAUCCCCGAAGUCAUGGCUACGCUUAACGCUACCUUCGGCACUUCCUUUCCCAAAAUCACCAUCAGAUCGAAAUACUACGCCCUGCAGAGCCUGACCAGACUGUAUAUUUCAUUCAAGAGGCGAGGUACUGGUAUGGGUUGGGACUCUUCGAAGUACACAUUAAUGAUGGAUGAUGGCCGCUGGGCUGAUCUACUCCAGGUUGGCUAACUUGUACUUAUAUUUCCUGUUUCAUUUCGAUUAUUUUUCUAUUAUGUAGACUUGCCUAUGUGACCAGGCUGUGCAAUUCCUUUUGUACCCUGUUCCAAUAUUUUCCUUUAUUAUUUAUCAGUACAUCAAAUCUGUUCGAAAUCAAUUUUUCAUUUAAAUUUCCUUUCGAUUAUUUGCUGGCUAACGACCAAAGCAAUAUAGCCUCACAGAAAAGAAUUGUCUUGGGUGUUUUAUGCAUUAUCUAAUGCUUGUUUUGAUGUAUUUUUUAAAGGUGAACAGCGACUUCACAAGGUUUUAUAAUAGAUCAUGCUAUGUAUUUCAUUUGCUUGAGGAAGUCUUCAUGAACCAAGGCGCUACAGGGGACUACAGUGGGGCGCAUGAAGAAUCACCCCUCAACACUGAUGAGAAGUUGGAAAUGGAGAAUGCGGCGAGAAGUGCUAAGCCCUCGGAUGUUGUUAACGUCGGUUCUUCGGGUGAAGAUGUUAAGUUGCCCUCGGCUAGGAAAGGGAAAGGGAAAGGGAAAAGGAACGUGACUAAGGAGAAAAAAAAACGCAAAUCGGGAGGCAUGUCAGAGGAUUCAUUCUUCUCAGGUUCUUCAAGGGAAUUCGAACAGUAUAUGCGUGUGCUAGACAGCAUUGAGACAAAAUUGAGUGGUAAAAAGGGAGAUAGCAUAUGCUACUGGUUCGGUCUGUUCACUGUCGAAGACUACACAUCGCCCUGUGGAUGCUGAUUCUGAGCUAAAGGCCACGUUGGCACAGCUCCUCGCCCUGAAUCUAGACAUAAAUGUGCAUUUGGGCGUUGCUGAUAUUUUGUGAAAUUCUUCAGAGCGGGCAAUUUGGAAUACUUGCACUACUGAUGUUGCUCGUCUUGCAUUUGUGAGGCGCAGAGGGUUCUUACCCCCUGAGUAGAUCGAGACCAGUCCAGUUUUAUUAUAGUUAUGCUUAUUAGAGCUCGUUAAAUGCUUGUGUUUUCCUCCCUGCUCUGCCAUUUGAGUAUUGAGUUGGCAGUAGGUUUGGUAUGAGUAUGACUAUGCCUUAACUUUAGUAGCAAUCAUGCGGUUGUACCGGAAAAUUGUUUUUCAUUAUUUUUUUCCUUAUUUUUUUUCGCACACGCUUGUAUGAAACAAUUGUUUAUUAGAUUUUUAUGUUGCCUUUAAUUGUCCUAAAUUAUUAGUGUCGCAUUUAACUUAUGGAAGUUAAGUGCUUUGUUUAUAGUUACAGCUGUUCGGGUUUUAAACUUUUCUAUGUACGCAGGGGUUAAGCUUGUUACGUUUAUUUCCAUAACUUUCAUAUGCUUAUUGGUGCAUUUGUGUAAUAUCUCCUAUCGCAUAUGGAUGUUAGGUGCCCUGUGUAUCCAUCCUGUGUGUACACAGCAAUCCAUCUUUAUUUUUCGUACUGAAUGUAUGAGACUCGGGAAUGAAACUGGCCGUGCUUCAAAGUGUAGAAGCCAUCAACCUUAACAUCAUUUUUCAUCAACUUUUACUGUACUUUAUUGAUUAGCUACCUUAUGUUGUUAACUCCUAUCCCAUUAAUACGCUGUCUUAUGGUUGCAUGUAGUUGUAAUUUGACGGAAAUAUAAGAUCGAGAUUGGAAAUAUAUUGCACUUAUAUAGAAAAUGUCUAUCCGCUUGCAUGCAUGGGAAUUAUUGGGUGUAAUCCAUAUGCACUAUGAGUGUAUAGGCCAAAUCUUCUACAUUCAUUAGUGUUUCCAGUUUAUUUUUUGGAAAACUGUGUUCGAUUGAUAUUGCAUUUCCAUGUGGAUGUAGGUUGGCUAUUUUCUGGAGCUCUAGCAAUAGUACGUCUCCGCAAAGUAACGAGUCUCUCUCUCUCUCUCUCUCUCUCUAUUGAUUGCUAAUUGUCAGUGCUUUGUUUCGGUUGCACUCUUUAUUUGUCUUCUCAUAAUAUCUCCUUUCAUGCACGAACUGCAGCACGUGUAUUUUGUUUCCAAAAUUUCAUAUUUGGUGAUUACGCCUACUUCCACCUUAAUUGUCCUUACACAAAAAUGAGAUUUUUAACAUUUACUAUGGUUUCAUCUCCGAGGCUAUCAUAAACUUGACUAUUAGUUUGUCAAUAAAGCAAGAGUUACUUCCUGAAUAUAAACGGUAGCCUGACCUCUCGUCUCUCUUAUUUGCAUCUACUCAUAUCAGCUUGUGCUUGGGAUAACACUAGUCUUGACAUCAUUCUCAAGGGUUAUCUCAAUUGAUGGAUAACGAGCUCCACGUUCAAGGCGGACAAUUAGACGAUGAGACGGACGAUCUUGACCUCGACAACAUACUCAUGGCGGUUAUUGUCAUGGGAAUGGUUUUCUUUGACCCCAGACUGAAUCAUUUUCCAAGAAGGAGAAGAAUCCGAGAUAGUGCACUCUCUGGCAGGGAUUAUGUACUUGAGGUGCUAAACGGCCAUCCGGAUCGAAUUAUCAAGAAUAUGCGCCUCUCUGUGCCCCUGUUCCUACACUUGUGUGACAUCUUGGUUGACCGUGGGUACUGGCACGCAUAUCCUUCUCAAAGGGUUGGGGUUCAUGAAUCCGUUGCCCUAACUCUAAUGUGCUUGAGCCAUGAUGAGCGUCAUCGGGUUUUAGCCGAGCGUUUCCAACAUUCCACAGAGACAAUUGAUCGGCAUGUAAGAAAAGUUCUGCGAGCAUUGGUGCGACUCGGUCGUGAUUUUGUUAGGCCGAGGAAUGUUGGUGAGACAUACCCCAGAAUUUUGAACAACGGACUGUUUUACCCGUGGUUCAAGGUAAAUACACAAACACUCAAUUCUUGGUAGGACUAUGAAGUUCGUAUCUAUGAUUUCCCGUAAUUUGUCUUGAUAAUAUUUUAAUAUAUAUGAAUAGCACAUUGUAUUCCUGCUAAAACAUCCAUAUGAAUAGUUUAUUAGCUAAUACUGCCAUGACUUUGAAUAAUUUGCCUCAAAAUUCAUAGGAUUGCGUCGGUGCCUUAGAUGGAACCCACAUCUCAGCUUGGUGUUGAACAGAGAUAAGCGAGCAGUACAGAAAUAGGCACAAUGGACUAUCUCAAAAUGUGCUUGCAGCUUGUGAUCAUGACAUGCGUUUUGUUUACGUUCGAGUCGGUUGGGAGUGCAGUGCACACGACGCCAGAAUUCUUCAGGAAACACUGCACCAUCCAAAUUCAGGAUUUCCAAUGCCACCUCUAGGUAUGCUUUUCUUUUAUAUAAAGGUUUGUAGUAAAACAAGUGAUUUUCAUAUGUGAGUCUUGCAUAGAUUAAUAGACUUUUUAGUAUUGCUUCAAGGUUUGUUUAUUUAUAAAGUUUGAAAUAUGCUGACAUGGAUUUGGGGCUCUCACAUGUUAGGAAAAUAUUAUACGGUGGAUGCCGCCUACACUAACAUGCCUGGGUUCAUGGCACCGUUUAGGGCAGCGAGGGGCACGCAGCAUGAGCGGGUCGCUAAAGCUUUAUUCAACCGACGACACGCUUCUGUUAGAAAUAUUAUUGAACGAAGUUUUGGGGUUCUUAAGAAACGGUUCCCAAUACUGAAGGGUCCAAUGCAGAACUACCUCAUAGCAACUCAGAACAAUAUCGUGCUUGCAUGUUGUACUCUCCACAACUUCAUGAGAGAUUAUGUGCCUAACGAUGAGUACUUCGAUGAAGAAGCUGCCCUCAGAGCCCAACUAGAUCUCCAGGAGGGAGGGAAUGAAAUCCAUGAAGCCCAACCCAUCGAUAUGUCGCAUGUGGGCAUACAUAACUGGAACGAAAAUCGGCGAGCUAUUGCAGUUCAUGUGUAUGUGAAUCGGCAUGGCGCUUAAAGAAGCUUAUGUCUAGCGUGUAGUACUACUAAGUAUAAACUUUGCUUGCUUCCUACAAUUUGACAACCAAACAAUUUGUCAUGUUAUCUGAUUUGUAUUUACAUCGGUUAACCUUUGGGGAGGUACCAAUCGGAUGGCCUAGUUCCAGUUGUGGCACCUAUAAUCAAGCCUGAACUUAAUAUGCAGCUUUUUAUGCGCCUAUACCAUGUCUUAUUCAAUAGCUUGUAGUUAUACAUGGCGUUGAGACCAGAAUUGGUUGUAUCUUGUGUAUCCAUAUUUAUUCCAGCUGAGGUGCAAAUCAUGGUUCGAAUAUGUGCAAUAGCUUUCCAGUCGAUCCCAAAUUAUUUCAACAAGUCGAGUCCAAAUUAUUUCCAUCCCAACUUCUUUCGGGAAGGAGAGCGUAUGGAAUGUAGAUGGCGAGAUUUUACAAGGGCAUCAAGUUUCUGCUCAAGUAAAUCGAGGCCUUGGUAGUUUAUUUGCUACCGGCCCUGAAGUCCAGUCAAAUGGCACAUAAAUGAACCAUUGUGUAGUGUAUUUAUUUGUAAUGAGUUUUGAUGUAUUAAAUUCCAGGUUAGUAAAAUUUUGUAGCAAUGCUUUCACAAGGUUCUAAUUUUGACACUAAUAAUAUUAUGCAAGUUUGAUGAGACAUUGAAGUAAAAAAAAAGGGGUGUUUUUGAAAUACAGGUCAAUCCAAACGCAGAUUUUUUCAAAUACAUGGAGUUUUUCAAUCCAAGCAACUAUAGUUGUUUUUCAAAAACUGCUACAGUAGAGUGUUUGAAAUAUACCUCCAAAAACAGAGAAUAUAAACGCAGCCCAUAUUAACUCAAAAUAACCCUAAAUCUAGCUUACUAAGGAAGCUAACAAACGAAGCCCAACAUGGGCUGGUCGGCUAGGGCCCACAUGGGCUGUCCAACCUUUAUUCUCAAGCCUAUAUUAGUCGCUUAACUCGAUAGUGAAGCCCAUUAUGCAGUUCAUCCUUUCUCUAGUAAUCUGAGGCUUCUUCAUGGACUUGGAGUAGGCUCACCAUCGUGUGUUUAGCCUCUUGAAUCCUUCCAAUGCAUGUAUGAACAAUUUGGAGAAAUGUUUGGAGGUUCUCACGCAUCUUUCUUGCUCUUGCUCGAGUCAUUGGUCCAGGGUUUAUUGAUGGUGUGUGUAGAUCAUUCUUACUCGAGCCUUGUGAAGUGACGACUUAAGGCCUUGGUGGUUCCUCAUCAGUUGUAUCAAAGCAAAUGCUGAUGCUUUUUCAGAGGACAUUUUAGAGGACGAUGAAAUCAAGAAAGAGGAAAAACCAUCCAAAGAAUACAAAGUUUACCCUCCCUUUGGUCUGUAGAAUCCAAAAAAUCCGAACAAAAGUCUUAAGACAGAAUGUACUUAUUAUUCGAUUCCGUGGAACCUCAUUUUGUUAAAUACUAACUUCCAUGGGGCAUUUUUCCAGUCUAUUUCAUAUUAUUACCAAGAGAUUUCUUUAGGUCUAAGACACCACCAAGAAGUGUUCUUAUGAAUAGAGGCAUUUUGUAAACGUUAAUAACAAUCUGUAGAUUGAUCCCCCUUAUUGGUUUUAACUGAGCAAGAAGGGCCUCCAAUGCUUUUUAGCGCUGCUUGUGAAUGAGUGAUUCUUGAAAGAGGUGUUUUGAGAUUUGGAGGGUCAAAAGCUACUUUACAUUUAACGUUUUCAACAUGGAAGAAACUAAUAAUGGUAAAAGUUAUUGCAAUGUUCUCUCAGUAUUUGCCAUGAAGCUCCGAAGGCAAAUCAGACUCAGAACUAAGAGGAUACCAAGAGACCAUUUAUAUCACCAAUGAAACUGGUUACUUCAACUGUCUUUUAAGACCAAGAACUGGAGCACUUUCACGAGUCCCUGUUUGCUUGUGCAAUUGAGCAUGAUUAUUUUUUGCUUGGUUUGUUGUGACAAAGGUCAGGAUACUUCUCAUUAGCAAUAGCCCAUAAAAGCAUUUCUCCAAGAUAGCUCAAAUAACAAAGAAAUAUGUGAUCAAGCAGAAUAAUUUAGAAAAAUUAAUUGCAGCUGUCGAACUACAGUGACUCACAUAUCAAAAUUUCCUUUAUCCUAGGUAACUAGUAAACUCGAACAUGUCCAACUAUGACUGUACCGAAGACAUUAUAGUAUCCGAGCAUUCCUUGAUCCUACUGCAUUUGCAUUACAUCCCAUUACAAAUUUGCCAAAAUUUUGCAUAUUUGGUGAGAAUCAGGGCGCAUUGGAUGAUUCAUCUGGAAAAUUUUCAGAUUCUGACCAAUCAACCAUUUUCUCCAGCGAAUCCAGAUCCCCAGCUUCUGAAACUGUGUGUAACCUGAUCUUUUCUGCAUCCUCACUGAAAGAAUUGAAAAGCAACAAAUUGUCAGUUGAGUAGAAAGUUUUAAAUUAAAUGGCCAAGAGAUUCCACCAGAGAUUCUUACUCUGCAACUCCAAAUAUUUCUUUGACAAUUAACGAGCUAUCCCUUGAACAGAACUCAGGCAGCUGGUACAGAGGUAAAAAGAGUUAAAUAAUGCGUUAAAAUGUACCAAAACGCAUAUAGGUGAUACAAACUGGGCUUAGAACAAGUCCUAUACUAGACUAAGAUUACAACUCAACAGGAAAAUCUUUCUCAUCCUAGACAUGCUUAGAUAUCAUUGAUGAAACUACAGUGUAGAAGGGAGGCUUUUCAAACAAGAUGCCGCUCAGAGAAGAGAUCCAUGUGAACUUCAAGAAAAGAAGGAAUGCCUUGGUAACUAGGAUAGACCAUGAGCAAGACCGAUCUACACAUAAUUAGUACAUCAUAGUUAAAAGACACCCACAGAGAAUGACAUGGAGUUCUCUGAAGUUUAAUUUAAUCACUAGCACACUAAGCAUAUGGAGUUAAAAUUAGGGGUGGCAAUCGGGUCGAAAUCGAGUUGGCGGGUCGGGUUGAGACCCAGAUAUAACAAAAAACCCGCUGACCCGCCAACCCGAAAUGACCCGAAACUUAAUUUUAAUUUAUUAAUUUAUCACUGUAAUUUCUAAUAAAACCAAUUUCGCACAAAACUAAUUACAUAAUCAAGUAAAAAAAUUUUAAAUAAAUAAUCUCAAACCAAAUCUAAAAUAAAUUAAAACACCGUAAAAGUGUUUAUCCCAAAACAAGUAUAAAAUAAAUUAAAACGGUAUAAAAGUAAAAAAUAAUAUAAUACAUUAUUUGUCCAAAUAUAUAAUAAUUUCAACUUCACACAAGUUAAAUAAAUUCAUUUAGGAUUAAGUGAUUAAUGCCUUUGGAAGAAAAUAAUAACUUAUUUUAGUUAGAUAAAAUAAUUUUUAUUAAAUUAUUUUUAAUUCGUAAAACGGGUUAUCGGAUCAUAUUGGGUUGGAUUCAUCGGGUUCGACCCGAACCCGCGAAACCUUAACCAAAACCCAUUAAUUUCAUGUUAGGUUUGUAUCGUGUUUUUAGGUCGUGUCGGAAAUUGCCACCCCUAAUUAAAAUCAUGUGAAGACCAAACUGUCUUCCAACUUUGUGAAAUUGGGGCAGAUUUUUUAAUAAACCAAAUGUUACAGUAUAUUUGUUUAUCCUUAUGGCUCAGUACGGAUUCCCAUUUUUGGGAUAAUGAGAAUCCUUAACUGUUUUAGGGGUGUUUUUGAAAUAUUUUACUGUAGCAAUAUAAGUGAAAAACUUUUUAUUGUAGAUGAGGUUGCUUUUGGUGUUUUUGAGGUUGUUUUUUGGUGUUUUUGGUAUUUUGAGGUUGUUGAAGUUAUGUGUAUUACUGUAGCGUUAUAUCCCAAAAACUUGUUUUUCAACAAAAGAUCAAUCCAAACUGAGCCCUUGUAUUGCAAACACAAGUCUACAGUAACACCAAUACAAAAACAACCCAAAUACAACCUUAUAUCUAUAAAUAAAUAAAUAAAAAUAAAAUAUCACCCCCCCCCCCGGCCCACCCCUUCUUCCUCCCCCACCACUUGCUAUCACCACUCCCCGCAUCUUACCAUAAGAAGAAAUCUGGUAGAAAGUUACCAUAAACCAUAAGAAGAAGGGGCAAAAAAGGAACUACAAAUGCUUAGUAAGUGAAUAAUACACUAUGCAAAAACCGUGAUUCCAGAAUAACACAACAAACAAACUCGUCAUGCAAGGUGCACAUCGAAGCAUUUCAGCAAAGAGCUAUCAACCUUACCUCAGACAGAUAAAAAACCUUCCCAAACAGAGCUUGUACUGCAAGCUUUCUCUUGAAACCCUUCUCCGAAUAUCCUGACAUAUCCAUCACAACAGGACCUGAAAAUGCAAUCAACCAUUGUCAGUCAAUAAUGAUGCUGCAUAAGCAUGAAGGCAGGCAGAUAGCAUCUAUUAACAUCCAUGCAGCAGUAAGCAUAUCUGCCUUUUGAAGUUAAUAUCUAUGCAGAUCAUAAGUAAGAGAAGGCAGAAAAAGAAGAUCAAAGAACACGUCGUUUUUGGCUCCUUUGCCACCAAAAAUGGAUACAACGAGCAAUAUCAGUAAAUGCAAUGAUUAUCCAGCACAUUUGUACACAGACAUCUGAACCACAAGGCUUUGACAUAAAGGAACAUGCUUAUGACUUAAUAUUUCCUGUUAAGCCUUACAAAGCAGCAGGCACAACAAGAGAGAAGUAAAGUAGGAUUUUUGCCUAAGCAGACAAAGCAGAUAUUGUCGCUUAAUACAUGCUCUGUUGCAUCAAUUUCGUUAAACUUUCUUAUUUUAUAUUCCAACUUUACAUUUCAUAAAGACUUGGACAAGCCCUGUAAUGUCUUCCUUUACUGUUAUUUAUGGCUAACUACAUCAAUUUAUGAGGCAUAAUUGCUGGCUGAAAUAAAGUGAUCCAGACUGUUGGCUGCUCCUUCAUCCAACAUGCACAAAAAGAUUACUGGAAGAAACAAUAAGGUUCCUAGAGACUGGGGAACUGCAUAUAUUACACAAUUAAUUGGACAAAAAGAAAUUGUUAAUCAUCUCUGUUUCCUCUUCCACCAAUUGAUAGCCUUUACCAAAAUACAAAAGUUUGUGACAGAACACGUAGAUCUGCCGAGAAAGAGAAAGGAAAGAAUGUAAUGCGAUGUCUAUCAUAUUCAGAAAAGCCCAGUAUGCAAUUCUUGUGUGGUUGCUUAAAACCCUACUGGUUUUACAUGUUAUAGAUAGUUAAACUUUGCCAUAUAGCAGUUUGCCAUGUUGACUUUUGUUAUCUAUAACGAAGAGAUCUUAUAAUUCAAGACAUUCUUCUCCAGUCCUAAGUUCAUUUCAUAAAUUACAUGAGGGUAGUACAGAAUAGAAGUGCAACCACAAUGAUACUACUUUGUUACCUUUCUCUUUUACAUGUUAUAGAUAGUUAUACUUUGACAUAUAGCAGUUUGCCAUGUUGAAUUUUGUUACCUAUAACGAAGAGAUCUUAUAAUUCAAUACAUUCUUCUCCAGUCCUAAGUUCAUUUCAUAGAUUACAAGAGGAUGGUACAGAAUAGAAGUGCAACCACAAUGAUACUAGUUUGUUACCAUUCUCUUUUACAAUCCGUCUUGAGAUCUCAUUGAGAACUCCAGCUAUUUGAGAAUCAUCCAAUCCUGAUGCUUUCCUCAGUUGAAUCAAAUUUGCUACCAGAUCUGGGUUGAAUGGCUUCUCAUUCAACACAUAACGAAUAUAUUUUCGCAGAAUUUCCUCCACGUCAAAACCUGUCUGAGAAAACAGUAUUUAUGUUGUCAAAGGAAAAUAACUCCCUGACAAGCAUGCAUACAGAAAAACAGAAUAUACAGUAAAUUGAUGAAAAAAAAUAGCACAUAUUUUAGAUCAUCUUAUAGUAAGAUAAUCCAUCUUGUCAAAAGCAAAAUUUAAGGUUACAAGUCCAGGAAGAGUGAAACUAACAAAGCAUUGCCUGAACCUAGGAACAAGAUGAUACUUUAGAGGUCAAGCGCAAUAUAGAAAAAAGUGUUUUUAACUAAUCAAUACCCAUAAGUGCACCUUUGUGCAGGAGUUUAGGGUUUAACUUCUUUUCAGACUUCAUAAGUUAUUACAACAUCUUAGUUGGUAUAUAUGUGUGUGUGUGUGUGUCUAUAUAUAUAUAUGAACACAAAUAUAACCAGAAAUGAAACACCUGAGUGCUUCUAAAGGUUGCACAAAAUAAGAAUGAUGGGGAAAAACAAUGAUGUAAUUCAAGAAAACUCGUGGAACGUCCUUGUAAUUAUUGGUAAAACUGAAGGAUCAUUAGUGUACUUCUCCAAAUGAAAGUAUUAGAGGACGCUCUUAUCUAUCUGAAUUAGGAAAAACAAAUGGUAGGGCAGAGAAGAUACUCAAAAAGGAGAAAUGGAACAGGCACAAUAGAGCAAGAGAAGAAAGUGGACAGGCCUAGGGAACAACAAGUUAGACAUUGACAAUUCCAAAGGCAUUUUCGUCAAAGAAAGGCUUAAAUACAAAUCACUCAUCAAGGCGUAAAUACAAAUCACUGAGCAUGUAACGUGAAACUUCAUGUAAAUCAUACAAGCAUAUAUUCCAAACAUACGCAUAAAUAAUUAUUAGAUGGCAGCUAAUACUCAUAUUCAAGAGGUUUCUUUCUUUCCAAACAUGACAUGUAAAUCAGAGAUACAAUAGUCUCUUGGAACAUAUGCCAGUGAGAGAACCUUACCUUCUGCAUCAGACCCUUCAAAGCUGAUUGAUCGACUUGAUCUUUUCCCUUCUCAAAUAGCUCAUCUAUUGAUUUGCAUAGCAUAGCAUUUUUAUUUACCUGAAAAUUUCAUUUUAAGGAGGUUAACUAUGAGAGAAAACUAAUUCAUCCUGCCUAAGGGUGAUCAAAUUAAACCACAUAGAGGAGGGAUAACAUUAGGUUACGUUCUUCAGAUAAACCUGAUCGCAUCAAAACACAUUGUAGUGCAAAAGCAAGGGAUAGUCAUAAAUUUACAAAAGCAAUCAAACAUGAUACCACUGUAUGAAGACGUGCAAGUAUAUCAAUCAGAAACCACCUAAUUGACUGUUCCAGCUGUUGCAAAUCACGAGAUGACUGAUGAGGAACACUGAGAAAGACAAGAUAAUCUUUUUCUGGUUGAGAAGUUAAGGACACAGUUAGUCUGCUAAUGUUAGAGUGACCUGUCCUGUAUAAUAACUGACUACAUGUUUUCAUGCUACAACGACUUAAGCGAAACAAUGACUUAAGCGGGACAUGCACUUUCAUCGUCAAACUCUUGUGAGAUGCAAAUGAACUGCACUGGCAUAAGCAAGAACUCCACAAUCUCAUGGAGAUAGUAACAGCCACAACUUAAUUCUGCUAUUGUAAUGAGCCUCAGAUGUGGCACAGCUAUAAUCAUGUCCACUCGACUUUUUGUUUACCUACGCAAGAACUCCACGAUCCAGAUUGCAAACCUAGAGAAAUAGACAUACAAAUGUCUCGUGCCAUAAGGGAAUCCAAAAGUUUUUUUGCUUUUUAUUGUUUCAAACUCUCGAUCACGUGCUUGCUCAACUACUUUUUGUCCAACAAUCAUCCCCUAUCUAAGGCGGGACAAGGAUAUCACAUACUCCUAAAAAGCUGCACAAGUGCAUGCAUUGCUCAAUCCUACACCUCAUACACACUAUACUUCCAUUUUUUGAACCACAUACAUACAAAUGCUCGAAGAAACAUGGAAUUUAAAUUGUUAACAGACAAUUCCGGGAUAAAGGCAUAAAGCACGCUUUUUUAAAACUAAAAAGAAGUGAACAGAAAGAAAAACUCUGCAAUGCAGGUAGAAAUGCUAACCAAUUGACGACGUUUUUCUCUGGGGGAAUUGAACUUCCGGACGGUCCUAACGAAAGCAAAGACAAAGGUGAUCCCUAAAUAAGCCAAAGGAACAGCCAAGACCCAGGGCAAGGAGCUCUGCCCAACUCUAGGCCCGGGCAGGGCUUGGGUAACAGAGCCCGUGAACUCGACCAAGUCCAACGCCUUCUCCUGUAUCCAGGGCAACUCCUCCUCCACUUCCUCGUCCUCUACUUCCACUUUCUUCUUCUGCUGCUGCUCCUUUUUACUACUUCUGCUACUACUAGUACUGGUACCACCACCACCACCACCCCUUGCCAUAGCAGAUACGAGGCGGCCCUGGCGGCUGCAACCGGAAGAAGUAGUAGUAGUAGAUGAGAAGGAAUUGGGGAACGGCAAAGACAGGGAAAAGGGGUUCCAUCUGGCGGCUCUGAGAAGAGGGGUUUUGGACAGAGUUGAGGGUUUUGUGGGUGGGAUGAUAAUGCUGAGAGCAAAAGAAGAAGAAGAGCGGCAACAAGGAGUUGAAGAAGUAGCCAUCAUAACCACUUCCAACUUUCCUAUAAGCUCAAUAGAUAGAGUGAAGAAGCCCUUUUUGGUGGUGGUGUUUGGCGGCGGCCGGCGGUGGCGCGUAUAAGGGGUGGCGUCACCAACGAAGAAGUUGGAAUUUUCAGUCUUUAACUUAUUAUUGUCAAAUUGGUCAAAAUUAGACUUUAUAAUAAAAAGUCAUUUAUAAUAAAUUAACUUCACUUCUAAUUUUUAGGUCCCUCUGCUUUCCUUAUUUUGCUAUUUCUGUUUUGUUUCUUCUUUUUUUUUGGCAAUAAAAUGUGCACUCGUUUCUCAGCAAUAAAAUUUUAUAUAAACUUUUAGUCAAUUAUCAUUUAUGUUUUUCACUCCCUUAUUUUAUGUAAAUUUUAACCAAUUUGUAAAAUUUGUGCCUUUCUAGAUUUAUUUUCAUAGUUUCCUUUUCUUUCUUUUUGUACUUUCUCACCAGUUAAAAUUUCCUCCUUUUUUUAAUUCUUGAUUAGCAAAUCUGCAUAGUAUUAUUUAGAGUAUUGUUUAAUUAAUCCUUUGCAUCUUAACAUUUUUUUGUUGAAAAUUUGUUUCUCAACAUUUUUGAGUAGUUAUGUUUUGUUUUCUCUACGUGGAAUGUUUGCAACUUAUUAUAGGCCAAAGUCAUGCCCUCAUAACCAUUACCUAUGCCAAGUUUUAUUUUGUCAAACAAAAAAAAAAUGCUAUACUAAGUUUUAUUAGAUUCUUUUUUAAAUUCUUUUAUUCCUUAAGCAUUAAAAAAAUCGCAUUUCAAAUUAAGGGAAAUGUAAUUUUCACAAACUACAUCUAAACGAAUCCCACGAAUACAACCAAAAGGCAAUUGCUGACUUCUUUUGACUGUACCCAUGGAACUUAAGUGAAAUUCACGCACACUCUAACUCACGCACCAUUUUCCCCACUAACUUGAUAAGUUAGAAAUUUGGUAAUGCUUUGAAUCUCUCGCCAAUUUGAUAAUUGACCCCAUUCCUUCUUCCCCUCUUUCCUCCCUCAAUUUUUUUUUAAAGAAUUUCCUUUUAUUCCUUAUAACUAUUGUCAAUUAUAUUUUAACUUAGUUAUGUUUUAGUAGCUUGGACCUUUCCUCCAUUUUAGAAAAAUAAGUAAAGCAAAAAUGAUAAAAAAUAAAAAAGAUAAUACUUGCGUAAAAAUUCAAAUAAUACCAUAUUGGGUUGAGAGUAAUACUGAAGGCAUAGCCAACAACAUUUAAUGUGUUUAAGAGAGAAAAGAGUGAAUUAUGGGGGAAAAAAGGAAAAAUGAAAAAAUAGAAAAAACUUUGUAAAAUAAAAGAGAUAAUUAUAUUGUAGUACACAAUAGACUUAGGAUGUUUCUUUUUUUGUUUUUUUGGCUAAAUUUGGAUUAUCUUUUAGUAUUACUAUUUUGCCUGGUUGAUUAUCAACUCACUUGGAUGACUUGCAAUUGUGUAACUUAUUUGGGUAUUACAUACACUACAGUUUAAGCGCUUCACUAAUUACGCAUAUCAUUUUGUAAAACACUGAUACUAGUUAUUCAACUAACUAAAAACUGAGUGAAAAUGCUAUUUCUAGUUUCGCUCUUGGUGGAAACAAAUAUAUGAGAAUUUUACCAGAUUAUUUUGGGUGGUUCGACAAAUUUAUUGGCCACAUCAGAAAUCUUUCGCUUGCAUUUGUACGGCCACUUUUUUAUGUUCUAAAAUUUUUUAGUUUUUGAACAAAAAUUGUUAUAAAAGAAUUUAAAAUACUAUUAUAUAAAAUUCAACAUACUAAUUGUAAGACAAACAUUGAAAUAAAACAUAUUAAAAAUGGUUGAUUUAUAACAAUUUAAUAAUUGUUUCAGUCGAAUCUUAUCCCAUAAUUCAAUUAUUUUUACUCUAAUUCAUGAUUGUAAGUCAACAUAUGAGUGAAUGAGAUAUAUUAGGAAAUAAGUUCAAUUAAAUAUUUGAUUCUGUCAUGACUAAAAAGAAUUUUAAAAGGUAAACUAAUAAAUGAUGAACUUAUUAUUUGCUCAAUUUAUUAAAAAUUUAAAAAAGUAAUUUGGAGAACUUUUUACAACCCCAUGUUUAUAUAAAUACUAAUUUGGCCUAAAUCAAAUUUGAAUGGAGACAACAUAAAAAUUAAUAGAAUAUUUGAGGAAAGAAUGGCUAUUUAUACAAUUUAAAUGUACUUGUAUGAGUAAUUUGCUAAAACUGUAUAAUAUAGAUUCAUUAGAAAUGGAAAUUGCCAAAUUUUAAUAUACAAGUAUGCAAUCGAGUCAAAUAAUAGAGAAAAAAAAUUCAAGAAAGAUAUCAUCAAUGUAAAUGUAUAUAAAGUGGGGAAUUAAUAGAUUGAAAUUUACUAAAAAUAAAGAAGUAUAGAAUGAUAGAAAAAAAUAAAAUUUCCCAUAUUUUAGUAACGAUAAUAAAUAAUCAAUGUAACCGUAUGUAAGGAAUUAACAAAUUGAAAUUUAUUGUAAAUAAGAAAGUAUAAAAUGAUAGGAAAAAAAAUGAAAGUUGGUCUAAAUUUUAGUAAUGGUAAUAAAUUAGGAAUCCAACAAUAGGAAUAGAGAAUGUUAUCAUAGAGAAUUAAAAUAGAAAAACUAUUGACAAAAAAAGAGAGUAAGGCAUAAAGGGUUUUUCUAAUGGGUGCCCUCGUUAAUACACCUAAUAUUCACCUACUCUACUAUGUAUAUAUACAUACUAACAAUUAUUACCUUCCUUUACAUUUAUAUACUUUCCCUAUUUAAUCCUACCUACCAUCUUUUGUAUUUAUUUACUUUCUUUAGCCCUCCGGGACUUGGUCUGGCGGUUGAGGUUACUGAAAAUGGAGCUUUAAGUCCCUGGCUCGAAUCUUGCUGCCAGCAAGUUGUGGAGGGUGGGGAAUAGUCUGCGGGAUCCACUCCUUGCGGGACACCCUUAAAAAAAAUACUUUCUUUAAUUAAUCUUAUAUUUCAAACAAUAUGACACUUGAAAUAUAUUUUAACGAGUGCUCAUAGGGCACUUGUUAUACAAAUUGAUAAAUUAUAAAAUGAAUAUAAAUUAGGUAAUUAAUAGGCUAUUUAAAAUUUACUUUAAAUCAGGGAGUAAAAAAGGAUUGUAAUUUGUUGUUACCAAAAACAAAUAAAGAAUAAAAUCUACUAAGAAACGUAAUUAAUAUAUAUGUAAUUAACAUGACAAAAAGAUAGCACUUCCAUUUGACAAAAUAUGGGAACAAUUCAACAACUUACCAAACUGGAAAGUGAAUAAAUAAUUAAUUUAUAUUUAUAUGAAUCUUCAAAAAGGGAAGAUGAAAGAAAAAACUAUCACUGUGAGCAUUCAAAUUUUGGUAAUAAUAAUAGAUAAUUCAAUCAAUAAUAGGAAUACAUUACGUGAUUAAAGUCUAAAGAUGAUUAGAAUGGAAAGGUGUGAGUUUACUGACAAAAAAAUAAAGAAGAUACAUUUAAUAUAAAUUUAUAUAAGGUGUCAUUAAUAGAUUUAUCGAAAUUGACUAUAAAUAAGAAAUUGUGCUAUAAAUAAGAAAGUAAUAAAGGAAGGGAAUUAAUUGUUACAUAAAAAAUAGAAAAGGAAUAAAAAAAAUAUUAGGACGCCUACGUGGCAUAAAGAUAGAUAGUCUACUUGGGAGAAGGCUAGAGUAGCUAAUUUAGCAACCUAUCAAAAUCGGAUUUAAAACAUUGUUUUAUUAUAUAUAUAAGCAAUUAGAUAAUUUCACAUAUGAUUUUUAAUUUUUAAAAAACUAUUUUAAAAUUUAAAUAUAAGAUAGUAUAUCUAUCAUACUUAGUUAGCAAUUUAUUUGAUUAUCAUCUUUGAGUGAUUCACAAUUUUAAAAAUUGAAACACUUGUAAUUAUGCAGAAAAAUACCCUAAUUUGUACGUGAAUUGUUGGUUUAUAGAGAAAAUAAAUUCUUCUAUAAUUUCAAAUUUAGUGUUAGUGACAUGAAAAACUAAAAAGGGCAAUGAUUACUAGCAGCUUCAUUCCACACAAACUUAAUAGUUCAAAAUAAAUUAAGAGGUACCAAAAUUAGUGUAAAUUUUCUAUAUAUAUAUAUAUAUAUUUUUUGGUAGGUGGGGGAGCGAAGAGAGAUGAUUUUUUCUGACUUCCUAACACGGGAGGGUAGGAUUUAAGAAACGCAUGAACUUUUAGUCUAUUAGCACUUUACCUUUUAAACUUCUUUAAUAGGCACUUUAAUCCCACUUUUUGAUUUGUUGGACAAAAAUGCCCUUUUUAUAUUCCUUUAUUUCUCCUUUUUACCUAUUCCAUUUUUUCUUUUCUUUUUUCUUUUUCUUUUACCUUCUCUCAUCAUACUAUUUCCUUUCCUUUCAUAUUAGUUCUACUAAUUGUAUACUUAAAUUAAUAUUUUAAUUUAUUACUUAUAAUAUUAUUCUUGUUGUAAUUUGUUUUCUUGUGUAUGUUCACAACAAUUAAUACAUGACAAACUAUAUGACAUGAAAAAAAUGCUAUAUUCUUGUCACAACAAAAAUCGUAUAUAAUCUAGCAGCCUAGUUACCUAAACGAAUAAAAACAAACUGGGCUACAUAGUUAUUUAAAGUUUAAAAGUAAAUGCCAACUAAACAAAACAACUAACACUUUUAUUAAUUCUUUUUACUAUGUGUAUAAUUGGCAAAUGAUAAUAGAACUCUCUUUUUGUUAUUAGAAUUCCUGGAGACUUAUUGACUGAACAAAUUAAAUAAAGGUUUGGCUAAUGAGUACCUUUGGGGUACUUGUUAAAAUAGUUUCAAGUGUUAAUUUUUUUAUAAGAGUGAAACUAAUUCUAGAAAACAUCUAGAUGUAGGGGGUAAUAAAAUGUGAGUGUGUGUGGUAAGUGAGGUGUUAUUUAUAUGUUGUAAUGGGAGCCUUUAGGUUGGCAAUAGUGUGAGAGCGAUAAUCUUCUUACCAGAGUAACUUUUAUUCAAAUACCAACAUUACCCUUAACUGGUCAGUCCCAUAUAUUCGCAUUGAUUUUAUUGGACUCAUUAUCUACUAAUUACUUUUUUUCUUUUCUCUCUAAUUAAUUGACAAGUUAGCCUUUUUCUUCUUUCUGUUUAAUUUAUUUAUCUAUUAUUUUCACAACUCACUGAUUUGGUUUUAAGUUUUUUACUCUAAUCCUUACUUCUAUUGUACUUCUUUUGCUUUAAAGUGCUAUUAUUUUUUUUAUUUUCAAAAUUGUAUUUAAAAGAUAUUUUUUUUUUGCAAAUACAACAUUAUUUUGCUCAAACAACUAACAAUCUAAAUGAAAAUAAUCCAAAAAAUGUAAAUGCACUUUUCCUUCAAUAUUUAUAGGAUGUAAAACAUAAUGCAAUUUAAAUCACUUUAAUCUAGUUGACAGGUCGUCAGCCUGUGCAAUAAUAAUAAUAAAUAUAGAACCUAGCUACCACUAAAAGCAGUCAAUAAUUGAUCCUAGGUACUGGAGCAGGGACUCUAGGUGUGCAAUGGGUUACUUAAUUCACCCUGUUCCCGAAGAGUUUGCUUAAUCCGAUAUAUCAAAAUCAAUUAGUUGACAAAAAAUUACUAAAUAGUAGACAGUGGCAAGUAGGGUCGUCUCCUCAGGGACUGGAUAUAUUUGUCUCUUUUAAAGUCCAAUUGGUAAGGGGGGGAUUUUACCGGAAUAAAACUAAAAACAAUUAAAUAAUUUUAACUAAAAAUGAAUAAAUAACUAGCACAAGUAAAACAGGAAUUAAAUCAAGAAUAAAUAAAUUCUAGCCAAGGAUACAACUACUCAGGCACAGUCCAAUCAUCCGAUCAUUGAUGCAAGAGAGGUUCACUUAAUGUAUUAAUAGGCUAGUUAUAGUCUGACGACCAAUUUUUCCUUAAAUUAUAGAUGACCAAGGUACCACCAUUAAUCACCUCUAACCAGAAAAGUACUCCUAGGUACGACCGUAGGAAUUAAUUUUCCAAUUGCAUUAAUAACUAGAAAAACCUAGCCCUAACCAAUAACACGCUACGAGGGUUAUUUAAAUUAGAUUGCACGUUCCCCUAAUGUGUAAACACACCAGUUGCCACUAACAUUAAUCAAUCAAACAAUUACGGAUUUAAUUGACUAAAUUGGCACGAGAUUAAUAAAUCACAUUGAACAUCGGGCCCUUGACAUCCAAUUGACAAAAUAAUCCCAUGAGAAUACAAGCAGACAACGUGCAAAUAUUAAUAAAUUAAGGAACGCGUGAAAACUAAUUAGAUCUCACAGAUUUUCGGGACUGCGCCGUCGAGUUGACCCUUGACUAGAUGGAAGACUUAGCCACGCCGCAUAAUUAAAUCACCACACGAAUUAAUAGAUUGCAAAGGCAUUGCAUUUUCUAUUAAGAAGCAAGGAAUAAAAGGUGUUUUUCCCGUUGGGGAAUAUUGUCGAACACCUGGCGUGUGUCAGAGGCCAGUCAGGAGAAAGAAAGAAAAACUAAAGACUAGGCUAAAAACUUAACUAAAAGGUGAUGUCUUCCUUCCCUACGUUAUCCCUAUUUAAGAAACAAAAGAAAGAUAGACUAAAGCUAUUUAGGUGGUCCCCACACAUGUGGACAAAGCCUCCAAAGUACUUCUUCCUCCAAGUCUCCUUACGUUUCUUUCUUUGAAGAGCCCAAAUGACUAAAUGCCUUCCACUAACUUGUGGUCCCCCACCAAUUCAAGGGCCCAAAGGUUGAAGCCCUUAGAAGUCUGCAUUUUUCCAUACAAGUUCCUCCUUUUUGGUAAUUUUCUGCUUCACUCCUGAAAUUGAUUCCAAAUACCAAAUAUGAGUAAAUAUCAGCAAUUAACACAAUAUUUGUCAGGAAUAGAAGGGGAAAUCAAUAAUAAAACUACUAACAAAUUAUACCCUAUCACUAGUUAUUAAAAAUAUGGAUACAUGUUGAAGUUAAGAUUGAUAUAAUAAUUGAACAACUCAUGAUUUACUCCAAUGCAAGCAACAAGUCACAAGACUUACUCAUGAUUUAUAAUUGAACCCAAAUUCAAAGUAAUACAAAACCUAAAUUAAAAGUUUAUACAUAAUCGAUAAUUUAAUAGUAGUGGAGUGAAUUGCAAAAAAAAAUAAAUAAAUAAAACAAAAAAAGUAUGAUAUUGCUAUCAUUGCAACAAAAAUUACUCAAAAGAUGAGAACUUGAAUCUCACUAUAAUUGCAACAAAAUUGAAUCCCAAAUUUAAUCAAAAUUUAUGAUCACUCCAAAAAACUAUAAGCAAAGAUUAUUUGACAGAAAACAUAAUGGAAUAAAACCAAAAAAGAAAAGAAAAAACAGGAAAAAUCUUACUGAUAGUAAUGCAAAAAUAGCAAUAGUGACAUAGAAAAGAAUAUUAUACAAAAGGUCUUGAACCACAUUUUGCAAAGAUCUCAAGAAAAUGAAAAGAAAUUGUAAAAUAGGAAAGAUGUAGAGAGAUUUGAAGGUAGGACUUCGAGUGAAAAUAAGAGAAAAAAUACCUCAUUGCAUAUAAGAGGAAGAAAAAGAGUAAUCAGUGGACAAUGGGUCUCAACAAAAUUAAUGGCAAUAUAAGAAGUUGACCAACUAAGGGUAAUAUUGGUAUUUGAGUAAAAAUUGCUCUGAUAUGAAGAUUACAACUCUAGUAGUAUCGCUAGCCGUGCCCCUGAAUCACUCCUAAAAUCCUUAAAAAAAAUUACCCCCUAUCUUGAUUAAAAUUUGAAUAGAUAAUUUUUUUUAUUCAAACAUUCCAAAAGCGGUUACAUCCAAAAGUGCAGGCUACAUUUUUGUGAAAUAACUAAUAUAAUAAAAAAAGGCAAAAAUUUUAUCUUGCUUAAUGAGUAAAAUAUUUCCAAAAAAGUGUCAUUAACCAAUAGUAGAUUGCAUUAAUUUUUUUAUUUUAAUCUUAUUAUUUGUCUCUUUUACUAUUAAUGGUUGAUUUUUUAUAAGCUUAUUUGUUUUAGAUAUAUCUAAACAAUUUGAAUAUUGUACAAAAUACGAAAUACGUUUUGCAUAUAGCUAGCAUACAUUUGUGAUUAUUAUAACUGCAAAAAAAUUGAACAUACAAAAAGAUAUAAAAGAGAAUAAGUUCAGGUACGUUAAAAUUAAUAUUCAAAUAAUAUUAGUAAAAAGAUGAAAAUAAACAAUCGUGUGAAGAAAAAGGAGAAUAAGAAAAAAAAUAAUAAGGAACAAGGUAAGAAGGAAAUAAAAAAGGAGAAAAAGUACCCAAAAAUAUUGAUAUGUGAAGGGCACGUUUAUUGUAAAAUAUCAAGUAGGGAGUAUAUGUGCCUAUAAACAAAAUUUUAGUGGGUAAAGUGCAACUAAAUGUAAACUCCAAGAAUUAGUACAUUUAACCAUUUUUUUUUGUUUUUAGUUCAUCAAGCACGCCUUGUUUCUUUAGGCCCCAUCGAUUUGGUCCUAGUUGGUUUCUCCAAGCCCUAUUGUGUCUCUUCCCCUUUUGCCCCAGUGUAGAUUAGAGUAGGGGUAGGAGUAGACUAGGAUAAUUGUUGCCAUGUGAUUAAAAAAGAGCACGCCUUGUUUUAAGAUGUCACAAGUUUGUUGUUAAGCCAAUUUUAGGUCACCUCUGAAUCGAAAUUCAUGCUUCAAAGCCACAGUUCAUCUUUGGACUGACGGUAUUGCAAAAGAAGUGUUUCCAAUCAGAUCCACUAAAAAACCACGCCUUUCGCUCACUUAAUUUCCCAAUAAUGUUGUAUCAGAAAGUUGUAAGAGGUUUGCAUAGGGAAUAGUUUCAAACCCUAGAGUCCAAAUUCCAUAGAGACCAAACAAUUUGCUGGAAAUCAACAUCAGCCAUAUUCAAAUCUUUGCAGUCAGAAAAAGCCAUGCUUUAUAGUCCACAUGAUCUUGUCCAUCAAAUUCUGUUCAGGCUUCCAACGAAACCCCUAUUGAGAUUCAAGUGCAUUUGGAAAUCAUGGCUGUCCUUGAUCUCAAGCAAACAAUUUACCAGAGACCAUCUGAAUUUCAACAAUGUCAAAAAACAACAUCUCCUCAUUAAGGAUUUUGAUGAUAAACGUCUUAGGCAUCUUAAACUUUGUUCUCUUCUGUGAGGACCCGUAAAUUUUUCUUAUUUUAUAUUAUUUCCUCGCCUGUAUUUUUCUUCAUUAUACCCUACUAUUUUGAUUUUUCCAGAGAUUUUAUAAGUGAAUAGAGUUUUUAAAUUAUUUUCCUAGUUUAAGUUAGUUCAUGAUAAGUUUGAAGUGUAUUAUUGACGUGGACCCGCUAGUGCGGUAAAUGCGAUAUAUUUUUGACAACUUGUCUGAGUUUUGUAUCAAGUGAUAUUAUUUUACAAGGCGCUAGGAUACAAUUAGAGGUUAGUUAGAUAAAUUACCAUUGGUAGACAAAAUGAUAGGAUUGAAACCCUAAAGGGCCACUUGUCACAAAACUAUUGGAACUUGGAUUUUGACCUAACUUUUUUACCUUUACUAAAUACCAAAAAUUUGACCAAAAAUAUCCCAUUUCUUCAUGAAGCUUGGCCGAACCUUUGAGGAGAGAAAAGAGAGGAAAACUUCAUCUUGUUUCUUCAAAUUCAAACCCAAAUCUUGAGUUCCAACCAUUAACAUCUCAAAUCACUCCAUAAAAACUCCUUACUAGGAAGAAUUAAAGAGGUUGGUGGAGUUGUUUUGGAAAGGGGAGACCUAAGUUGCUAGCUUUCUUGAGUUUUUGAGGUGAGUUGCUAAGAAAUUCUUCCUUUGUUCUUGAUAAUGUUAAAUUAGUGGCUUUAGUGGCUAAAUAUAUUGAUUUGUGGUAGGUUUUAUGGUUGAAAGUGGAGUUUUGAUGGAUUUUUAAUUUAUUAGUGAUUUUUCUGUUUUUAUAUAAUAAUUAUUGUUUAGUCAUGGGAUGAUAGCUUGUUAUAGUGUAAAAUGGAGCUUGUAUAUGUUGGAUACGAUUGGUAGUGGAAAAUUUCUAGUUUGGUGCGGAAAUUCUAGUUUAAGGCUUCAUCUUACCCUAUUCUGUCCGGUUCUGUUCGGCCAUAAUGGAGGCCGAAUCAGUCUUAGAUUAAAACAUGAAAGUUGUAAGAAAUGAUGUUUUAUAAUUACCUGUAAAUUUUUAACUCAAUCCGAGCACUGUAGCAUGUGAAAAAAUAAAAAUACCCCUGACUGCCAUAGGUAGAGCUCUGUGGAUAGUGUUGACAUUUUACCAAUUUAACCGCAUCUGUUUACCCUGAUCCGUACUGAAUUAGCAUUUGGCCAAAACAUAGAAGUUGUAGUGCUAUGUCUUAGCUUUUCAAUGGCCCUGAAAACGCCUCAAUUGGACUUCGGUAGCCUGAGUUAUUGUCGUUUAAGUAUUGUGUGGUUAAUUAGCCUGAUUGUGAGACUCUGGUUCUGUAAUUUGAAAUUUUGAUCUGGUUACACUACGACUGGACUGAGUGGUUUUCAUGAAAAUUGUAGCCCUUUAUCUUAGUUUCGAAAUGGUAUAAAUUGCACACCAAUUCGAUAAGCGUAGCUUCGGUUGUGUCCGAUACGCUAAGUGACGUCAAAUCUGUCUUUUGUUUUAUGGUUUAAACUUAAUUUCCGGAUAUUUUCCUAACUUGAUUUUGUACUUGUACGACAUUGAGCAUAUUGAAAUGGGAUUAUAUUGUGUGUGACAUUGGGGCUGAUUUGAGGGUAAAUGAAGCCAUGAUAGCUGGAAAAGUAAGCAAAUUUAGGGGAGAUGCUGUCCAAUUUUCUAGGCCGUUUGGUUCCUUUAAAUUUGAGUUGCCUUUAGAUAGAAAUGAAGGGCUUUUGGGUCGUUCAAGCCCUAGAUCCUCUCGUUACCUUUUCGUUCCAAAAUCACGCUUUUGCACCCUUGCAUUCGUAGUUCGUUUGGUUAGGCAUACGACUCAUAGUUGAGUUUCAUUUGUGAAUGUCGUUCUUAUAGGAACCAUAAUUGUUUUACUUUGAUCAUUUUAGGACGUGCUGGUGAUCCAGGAAGUACUUUGGGGGGGAACGUUUGAAUUUGUUUUAUUGGAACUGGUGAGUGUACAACUCCCUUCAUUGUUGCUUAACUUGGUUUCUGUACAUGCAAUCUGUGAUAUGAAUGACUGUAUUAUCUGUUUAUUCUGUUUGAGAUGAGGGUGUACUUCAUCAUACUCGUUCUUUUGUCUGUCUGUAUGCUUAUUUACUGUGCGAAUUUGAAUCUGUUAUCUGUAUUUGUAUCUGUUCUGACGUCGUUUGGAAGCUUGUAUCUAACGACCUUUCUGUGACCUCUGAGUUCAAAUCCUGUGGCUAAGUUACUCGAGUCGAGCCGGCAAGGGUCUGGUCGAUUAAAUAAAAAACCGCAGCAGUCUGUUCUAGGAAUUUUUGGGUAUUGAGACCCUUGAUUCCGGUAUGCUCGAGUAUUACCACUUCUGUUUCUGUUAAGGUGUUCGGGCCCGGUAAGGUGUAAGUUUGGUGGACGGAUUUUGGUGUAAAAUGGUGUUCUACUGGACUGGACUGGUUACUUUAUUUGGAAGUUGACGGAAUGUCAACUAUUAUUUGAUCAAGUUUCGGUGAAGCAAAUGGAAAUUUGGCUCCUAAGAGCCACCCGUAUCCUUUCUAUCUAUGGUGUUUGUUCAUUUCUUUAUUUGAUUUGCAUAUGUGACUAAUUGAAUAUGAAAUUUCAUGAUUCUUACUUGCUAUUAUUUUGGUACCUCAUUGAGUAUAAGCUCACCCUCUUCCCGUUAUUUUUGUUUUCCUUACAGGGAGCCACACUUUGAAUCGUGAUUUUGAGAAAAGGGUUGAGCUAGUGUAAACGUUCUUUUGUUAGCUCUUGUGUAAUCAAAACCCUAAUUAUUUUUUAAUUAAGUAUCACGCUUUUAAUUGUAAAGUUUUCAAUAUAUAUAGGUAAGUGUUGUAUCACGUACAUUAAGUGUAUUCAUUUGAGAUGGUACCUUUGUGUUUGUUGAGAUGCUACUGGUAAUCAUGGGACAAUCGGACGAGUGCGGCAUUUGAACCAGGAAAGAAAAUUUUCUGGCGGGAACUGUUCACCAAAUCCGGCCGUAUCUUGGCUGGAUUGUGAUGUGUCCGCUUUCCAUUUGCAUCUUCGUCUUCAUUUUCGUUUCUGUUGAGGUAUUUAGUCGAAGUACCAUGAUACCUUACGGUGUAGAACUCAUGUUUCUCAACUUAGUAGUCUUCGAUUGAUUGUUCUCUUGGGGAUUCGUUUGUGCGCUAUAUCGGGUUUGUGUGAUUUGACUCCGUAGUCCUGGCGAGAGUUGGACAGGUGGUCCGCCGAACCCUUUGGUUCGCCGAACCCUUUAGGUGGGGCUGUCACAUCUUUCAUCUUUAUUGAAUGGAGAAAAAAGAUCUUACUAAUGCUCCUUAUCGUGAUUUUCCCUUCUAAGAAAAUUACUUAGAGAUGGAUUCUUCACAUGUUUGUUGUUGUAAUGGGUUGAUUUUCAUAGUUGUUAAUCACUUACAUUUGUACUUGUGGAACCCAUGUACAAGAAUCUCAAAAAGUUGCUUGAUAUAGGCUUAAAUUUGGGGAUGACUGGUUUCCGUAUCAACUAGGCCAAUUUAGUUUCAGGUAUGAUGAAUUGAAUGACGAUUAUAAAGUAGUUGUAGGCAUUUUUGAUUUCAGUGAGGGCUGUGAUUCUAAGUACUAAGUUUAUAGCAUCAAGGCUAAAUCUUAGAAGAGAACCAUGGAUUUUGAUGGCUACCUGUCCUUAAAUGACGGGAUAUUUGUGAAUGGGAAGCUCUAUUGGGAUUUGGAUCAAGCAGAUAUUCAACUUCUGGUAUCUUUUGAUCUAGCAAUAGAAUCAUUUGGAAUGGUGGAUCAACCAAUUGUUGAUAAUUCAUUCACAAUAUUGGAAGCACUUGAGGGGAACCUUUGCUUGAUUUGUGAAAAUUUUCAUAGCUAUUCAUGAGAAGUAUGGGUUAUAGAGGAAACUUGUGAUAGUAGAGCAUCUUGGAAUAAAAAGUAAGUAUUUCAAAUUAAAUUUUCAACUCAUCUUUAACAAAAGCAGAUGCAUAUCUCCGAAUAGUGAGCUUUUAGGGUUGGAUUGUGGAAUGCUUUGUGUCUACACUCCUAAGGAUCAUUCUAUCAAGCAUUUCAGGGACAUCAAGUGCUCUCUAGGGUGUAUAAUUCUAGGUGAAAGCCUAAUUUUUCGUAACCUUGAAUGAUGCACAAAAGAAGGCUACAAAAUUUAGAGCCAUAGAAACUACGGAUGAGUAUUUGGUAGUUCUCAUGGCUAAUUAUUCAUUUAUUUUUUUUAUUCAUAGCUAAUCGGUUAACUAUCUCCAUAUUUGGUUACUUGGAAAUUAAUUGGACAAACAUUUGGAAUUUCACUUGGAUUUUCUUAUUGUUUCCAUUUAUUACUUUCAUUCUACACCUUUAUAUUGUUGAAGGUGAAUAAGAAACCUGAUAUCCUGAGUAAGAAUGCAUGAUUAGUUCUUCAAUUAAUAUUUUUUUGUUGCAUUAACAGAAAAAGGAAAUCUAGGAGGACAAGCCAUCGUAUUUUUCAUAAUUAUGCUCAAGCGGUUUGCUUAGUUUCUUCAGCAUGCUCAUGUUGAAAAGAGCUGUCAGGCAUGUUAAUAAAUAAUCAUGGAGAAACAAAACAUCUUAACAAAGUACAAAUUCCCAUCCUACUAGUAAACAUAACCAAAACAUUGUUAGAACAAGAAACGGAACAUGAUAUUUGUUCCCUAUCCAUUCCCUCGUAUUCUGCCAGUCUACUAGUCUAUAAGGUCAUCAUGUAUUUAAAAAAAAACAUAGAGAAAGUGAGAGAGAGAGAGAGGAGUGAACUUGUCUAAAAGGUACUGCACAAAUAAGAUAUAUGAAAAUGCAUCCCUUUGAAGGAAUCUCCAAUAAGAAACUAAAACGAUUGAAGAAAUAAAGUCUCACCUCUUGAAUCCAAUUGAAAACAUGAGGGACUACCCAAGUGAUGCAGUAACGGAAGCAUAAGAGAUCAAGGGGUUUCACGAACAACCUUCAAAGGAGAGAUAUUGUACGAACGACAUCUAAUCAUGAAUCACCAAUUCAUGAAAAUGAGAGGAAACUCUCACAAUUGGCAAAAACUAACCAAUGAUGUAUCUUAAUUUGAAGAAAAAUGUCUGAUUACAAAAGCUCUAACUAUUCCUAUUUAUAUGCCACAAUGAAUCCUAUUCUACAAAGAAACAAAUACCAUUAAAAAUCGUAAAUGUACAAAACUAUGUAUUUAACUGCGGGGAUGUGCAACACUCAACAUAGGGCCGGUCAUAGGAACCAAUAUCAUCCGUCCAUUGUUCCCAAUAAUAAUGAAAACAUUAAUAUAACACAUAAAAUUAGUACUAAAACAACUAAUAAAAUAUUAUAACCACCCACAUUAUUCAACCCCUAAUUAACUUUUGGAUAGCUCUAUUAUGAGGACCCAAAAAAUUAUUUUAUAUUUUCUCUUAUUUUUGAAAAAAAUUAAUUUAUAUUUUCUUUUAUUUGACUUUACUUGCCUAUUUACUAGCCCUAAUUUUAUGGUAAUUUUAAAGGUUAAGUUAGAACUUUUCUUUUUCAUAAUUUGGUGCAUGUUAAGUUUCGUAGAGUAUUAUAGUAGUUUGGCCGAUUAGUAAGAUGUACGCAUUAUAUUUGGUGGACGAGAACGAGUGUGGUGCUAGAGGAAUUAUGUGGUUAGAAGUAUUAAGAGUGAAUUUGAGGAACACAAGAUGGAUUGGUUAUGAGAAAUACAAGAGAGAUAAAGAGAUAGGAAUGAAACCAUAAGCCGAUAAGUGUCACUAAUCUAAGCAUGCUUUGACCAAGACUAUUCUUAGUCUUUAUCUUACAAAAUUGAACCAAAAACCUUCACCUUUCUUCUUUCUUAUGGCCGAACCUAAGAGAGAGAGAGAAGAGAGAAAAACUUCCAUUUUUGCUUGAUUUGUGGAAAAAUUCAAAGACCAACCCUAAUCCACUUCGAUAAGCCUUGAGUUAAGCUUGGAGGUGAGCCUUUUGGUAGAGUUAUUUGAGGAAGAAAACUCUUGAGUUGCUUAUCAUCGUAGGGAUUGAGGUAAAUUUUUUAGAUAGAUCUCUUUUUACUUGUUUUCUGAGAUUUAUGCAAGAUAUGUUCUGAUUGAAGUUAAAUAAAGCAUGUUUAUGGUAAUUUCAUGGCUUUGCUAGGGUUUGGUGAAGUUGUUAUUAGGGUUUGGUCAAUUUCCAGCUUUAAUGUUCAAUUUUCAGCUUUGAGAUGAAUUUCCAGCUUUCAUAAGAGAUGUUUUAGCUCUGAUAUGGGGUUUUCUAGCUGCUAUAUACAAUUUUCCAGCUUUAAUGUGAAAUUUCCAGUUUUAGUGGUUAAUUUCCAGCUUUGAUAGGUUAAUUCCAGCCUUGAGAUGCUAUAUCCAGUUUUGUUAUGCCCUUUUAGCUUUUAAUAUGAAAUUUUAAACUUUGAUAUGUGGUUUAUAGUCUUGUUAUGCAAAUUUCCAGUUUUGAGAGGCAAAAUUCCAGCCUUGAUAUAGUUACUUGAAACUUUAUAUAUAUGUGGAAUUGUAAUGGAUUUCUUUGCCAAGAAUCUAUGCCAUAUGCCUCGUGAGGUGUUUACCAUAAUCUAGUGUGUAUUUGUCAUGAAAAUAGGGGUAAAAAUUGUUGGUUUAAAUAGAGAAACUUUGGGGCAAGUUGCUGGAAAAUAUAUGUUUCGUUGGUAGAUUGAGUGAGGGAGAGUUUGACUUUCUAUUUUGUGGUGAUUUUGACAUACUCUUACUCAAGACAUUUGUUAAAACCUUGCUCUUCAUAUGUAUGUUGAUUUUGAGCCAAAAUAAAGAGGUUUAAAGGAACAAAAUGAGUUUUCUCCAAACCAUUUUCUAAUAGGAAUUUUCAAGUCUGCAUGUUGAAGGUUUUGUCUUGUUUUCUUCAAACGUUUGACUAUAAUUGAUACUCUUGUACUCCAUAUGAUUCCUGAAACAUUGAUUUAUGAUGCAUAAGGUUUCCCCUUGAUUUGAAUAAGAAAACGUUGCAUUUUUGAUAAGCUCUAUGGGGUUAAACUUGCAAAUUUCUUUGUUUUCUAAGUGACGCUUUGAAACUCACAUUUUAUCAUUUAUAUUGACUUCAGAUAGUUAGAUUCUUGAUAUAUUAUAUUACCAUAGGAUUUGAGCCUGUCCAAGAGGACGAACCAAGGUUGAAGUGAAACGAUUGUGAUCAAGUGGUGAGUGUUUCUUGCAUGUUUGUGCAAUAAGUGACUAUGUUGACUAUUUGUGACUGAUUGUUUAAGUGUCAAAUGCUUUUCAAUGAUUGUUAAAUGGAUUUCUAAUGGAUAAGUGUGUACUUUAUUACACUCAAUCUAAGUGAAUGUGAAUUUUCAAUGAUCAAAUGAUUGAAUAUUACUUAUGCAUGAAUGUAAACCAUACAUACUUUAUCACAUUGGUUGAAUCGGAUAGAUUGGUGACCUUGGGCCACUGUUUUGAUAUACUCGUGUAUGAUCACGAAGUCAAGUGGAGUACUGGCUAGUAAAUGAAAUCCAAUGAAUGAAAUGACUGACUGAAUAAAAUGAUGACUGUUGGAGUUUUAUUUUCAAAUGUUUUCAAAUGUCGGAGGUAUAAGAAAGAAAUGGAAGGAGACUGAAUGACUGAAUGAGUGAAUGGUUUCAAGUGAGCACGUAUCUUUUUAUUGAAUGUGUUAUUUUUACUUGAAUGCUCUAAGUGUUUCCUUUGAUUGGUUGUUGUUAAAUCUGCUUGAUUGUUUGUUUGGGAACCUCACUGGACUUUUAACUCAUUCUUUUAGUUUAUUUUCCUUACAGGAGUGGAGGUCCGGAGCAAUUAAGUGUGAACUAGUGUGUAUAACCCUCUUGUACUUGUACUUUCGGUAGAUAGAAUGUAUUUUGGCCAUUUGAUGUUGUAUCUUAUGUUUUACCUUUGGGUUGGAAUUAAAUUUGAAUUUUGAAUGAAUUGUAGAACUUAAAUGUUAUUUUAGAGGCUUAAACAGUUAAUUUUGAGAAUUCAAUAAAGUAAAUGUAGUGAGUCUUGACAAGAAUUGGGCAGGUGACUCACCAAACUCUUGGGUACGCCCUAAGGGGAGGUGGAGUCAUCACAGGUGGUAUCAGAGCCAGGUUGAGCUCAUGCGAGAAGAGAGUUCUCGGAUUGUGGGGAUUAACUUGUUAAGUGUGGAAUGAAUAUCUAUUAUUGGAAAAAAUUAAAUAUGUAUGUUGGGUAAGAAUCUCAAAUGUGGUUGAUUUCUUUUUGGGACUAGGCAACUCUAGUGGUGAAUUAUCCUAUUUUCGGAUUCUUGUAUCCGAAUACCAAAGAGUUGAUAGCUUUAUGAUGAGUGUCGAUAUCACAAUUGAAUUUGAGAUAAGUACUGAUGGCAAAAGUUGGCUAAUGCUAAUAAUAGGAUUCAGACUGAGAUAGAGCGUUAAAGGCAAUGCUUAGGAUGCAAGAUGAUAGAAUUCGAGAGUUUGAGAUUUCUAUUCACGAGGAACAAGAACGGACUAAUGCUUUAUGAGAGCAAAUGUAAGAGGUUAACGGACGUCUCGUUCAGGUCGUCAGAGAAGUAAGAGAUAGAACAGAGAAUAUUUUAAUCGAGUGUGGGAUGGUUGUGGAUGAGGUAGUACAAGUGAACGUAGCAGAGAGAGGUCAAGGGAAUGCAGGUCCUAACGAAUCUGAUCUUGAACCUGAAGAAGGGCAACCUGUGCCUGAGGGAGAAAUAGGAUCAGAUGGUUCGACAAUGAACUAAGUUAGAGAAUUGAGAUUGUACGACGUGAGUUUGGAUAUUUGGGAUGACACGUCAUUUUCUUGUUUUGGCAUUAUAUGUAUUUUUGCUAGUGACGUGUUAGUGUUAAUGUUAAUGUAUAUAGUACUUGCUUUUGCCUUAUGUACUUGAUUUUGAUUAGGUUAAUAUGUACAAUAUUUUUUUGACUUGAUGUAUGAAUUUAGUGUGCUAUACAUAGCUGUUAUAGUCGAUUUGUUUUGUUUAUAUACUAUAUAGGUUAUUUUGACAAAAACAAAAAGAAGGGCAUGGAGGGAAGACGAAGUCGUGGAUGUGGGGCUAGACAAUCACAGAAACCAAGGAAUCAAAGAGAAGUAGCGGCUGAACAAGAUCGUGGACCGAUGUUUGAAGUAAGGGACCGAGCAGCGAUGGCUAUACAACAAAUGACCAAUAUAUUAGCACGAUUGAUAGAUCAACAAAAUCAAGCACCUGUUAACCAACCUAGGGACCCUGAAAUAGGAGAGAACUAGGCUCUAGAGUGUUUCUAAAAGUUUUUCCCACCAAAAUUCUUUGGAGGGUCUGACCCGAAAGUAAUUAAAAACUAGUUAGAAACAAUGAUUAAUAUUUUUGCAGCCUUAUAUUAUACGGAAGAAAGGCAAGUGACUUUUGCUGUCUUUCAAUUUGAAGAACCGGUUCGAGCAUGGUGGAAUGUUAUCAGGGUAAAAUAGGAAAGAGAGCAGGUGGCAUGGGAAUGGAUAAACUUCGUAAGAGAGUUUAAUGAGAAUUACCUCCCACAUCUGGUCCAAGAGAAGAGAGAGGAUGAUUUUAUCAGGUUACAUCAGGGAGCUUUAAAUGUAUUUGAGUAUGGAACUCAGUUUACUAAAUUAUCCAAAUUUGCUCCUGAAUUGGUGGUUAUGGAGCAGAGGAGAGUAAGACGGUUCAUACAAGGAUUGAAUGUAGAAUUCCAAGAGGCUCUAGCAGCAGCUCAAAUCAAUACAUUUACGGAAGCUCUUGAGAAAGCUCAGUAGGUUGAGAAUGUGAGAGUGCAAGUAAAGGUUUUUCAAACAUGAAAAAAGGAUGCGCCAAGCAGUAAGUCUAUGGAACCUAGAGACGAUGUAUCAUCUUCCAAAGUUAGAAAAGUGAACCUUCCACUUUACCCACCAAGGACACUAGGAACACUAGAAGAAGGUUCCACAAGAGAAAAUUAGGUAGGAAGAGAGCAGCAAGAGGAAAUUUCUCGAGAAGGCCAAAUAGUGGUUCAUCGUUUGGCUUGUGGAUAUUGUGGGAAGACAAAUCACACUGAGAAUGAAUGCUGGGUGAAGGGGUGAAAGUGCUUGGUUUGUGAGGGUGUUGACCAUCAAAUCAACAACUGCACGAGAAAGCAGCAAAGAUGGUCGAAUGUACAACAAGUGAAUAGGACUACUUCGAGACAGAUCCAAGAGGGAGCAAACUGAUCUAGGGUGCCAACAAGGGUAUAAGCUAUUGAUCAACAACCAGUUCCAGAAUUCCAUGAAUGUUAGAAUUUCGACAACGAAAUUUUCUUAAGGGGAGAUAAUGUGAGGAUCCGAAAAAUUAUUUUAUAUUUUCUCUUAUUUUUGAAAAAAAUUAAUUUAUAUUUUAUUUUAUUUUACUUUACUUGCCUAUUUACUAGCCUUAAUUUUAUGGUAAUUUUAAAGAUUAAGUAAAGAUUUUUUUCUUUUUCCUUUUAUAAUUUGGUGCGUGUUAAGUUUCGUAGAGUAUUAUAGUAGUUUGGCCGAUUAGUAAGAUGUACACAUUAUAUUUAGUGGACGAGAGCAGGUGUGAUGCUAGAGAAAUUAUGUGAUUAGAAGUGUUAAGAGUGAAUUUGAGGAACACAAGGUGGAUUGGUUAUGAGAAACAUACGAGAGACAAAGAGAUAAGAAUGAAACCAUAAGCCGAUUAGUGUCACUAAUCUAAGCAUGCUUUGACCAAGACUAUUCUUAGCCUUUAUCUUGUAAAAUUGAACCAAAAACUUUCACCUUUCUUCUUCCUUAUGGCCGAACCUAAGAGAGAGAGAAAAGAGAGAAAAACUUCCAUUUUUGCUUGAUUUGUGGAAAAUCCAAAGACCAACCCUAAUCCACUCCGAUAAACCUUGGUUUAACUUGGAGGUGAGCCUUUGAUAGAGUUAUUUGAGGAAGAAAACUCUUGAGUUGCUUGUUAUCUUAGGGUUUGAGGUAAAUUUUCUAGAUAACAUCUCUUUUUACUUGUUUCUUGAGAUUUAUGCAAGAGAUGUUCUGACUGAAGUUAAAGGAAGCAUGUUUAUGGUAAUUUCAUGGUUUUGCUAGGGUUUGGUGAAGUUGCUAUUAGGGUUUGGUCAAUUUCCAACUUUAAUGUUGAAUUUUCAGCUUCGAGAUGAAUUUUCAGCUUUCAUAAGAGAUGUUUUAGCUCUGAUAUGGGGUUUUCUAGCUGCUAUAUACAAUUUUCCAGCUUUAAUGUGAAAUUUCCAGCUUUAGUGGUUAAUUUCCAACUUUGAUAGAUUAAUUCCAGCCUUGAGAUGCCAUGUCCAGCUUUGUUAUGCCCUUUUAGCUUUUAAUAUGAAAUUUGAACCUUUGAUAUGUGGUUUAUAGUCCUGGUAUGAAAAUUUCCAGUUUUGAGAGGCAAAAUUCCAGCCUUGAUAUAGUUAUUGAAGCUUUAUAUGUAUGUGGAAUUGUAAUGGAUUUCUCUGCCAAGAAUCUAUGCCAUAUGCCUCGUGAGGUGUUAACCAUGAUCUAGUCUAUAUUUGUCAUGGAAAUAAGGUUCAAAAUUGGAGGUUUAAAUAGAGAAACUUUGGGGCAGGUUGCUGGAGAAUGUUUGUUUGGUUAGUUGAUUGAGUGAGGGAGAGUUUGGGUUUCCAUUUUGUGGUGAUUUGGACAUACUUUUGCUCAAGACAUUUGUUAAAACCUUGCUCUUCAUAUGUAUGUUGAUUUUGAGCCAAAAUAAAGAGCUUUAAAUGGAACGAAAUGAGUUUUCUCCAAACCAUUUUCUAAUCGGAAUUUCCAACUCUGCAUUUCGAAGGUUCUACCUUGUUUUCUUCAAACGUUUGAUUAUAAUCGAUAAUGUUGUACUCCAUAUGAUCCUUGAAACAUUGAUUUAUCAUGCAUAAGGUUUCCUCUUGAUUUGAACAAGAAAAAUUUGGACUUUUGAUAAGCUCUAUGGGGGUUAAACUUGCAAAUUUCUUUGUUUUCUAAGUGACGCUUCGAAACUCACAUUUCAUCAUUUAUAUUGACCUCAGAUAGUUAGAUUCUUGAUAUAUUAUAUUGUCACAGGAUUUGAGCUUGUCCAAUAGAACAAACCAAGGUUGAAGUGAAACAAUUGUGAUCGAGUGGUGAGUGUUCCUUGCAUAUUUGUGCAAUAAGUGACUAUGUUGACUAUUUGUGACUGAUUGUUUGAGUGUUAAAUGUUUUCCAGUGAUUGUUAAAUGGAUUUUUAAUGGGCAAGUUUGUACUUUAUCACACUCAAUCUAAGUGAAUGUGAAUUUUCAAUGAUCAAUGAUUGAAUAUUACUUGUGCAUGAAUAUAAGCCAUGUGUACUUUAUUGCAUAGGUUGAAUUGGGCCCUUGCCCUUCGUCGCUAGCCUAUUUGAGCAAAAAGCGGACUCAGUCGGAUAGGUUGGUGACCCUGGGUCACUGUUUUGGUAUACUCAAGUAUGAUCACGAAACCAAGUGGAGUACUGCUUAGUGAAUGAAAUACAACGAAUGAAAUGACUGACUGAAUAAAAUGAUCACCGUUGGAAUUUUAUUUUCAAAUGUUUUCAAAUGUCGGAGGCAUAAGGAAGAAAUGGAAAGAGACUGAAUGACUGAAUGGCUCCAAAUGAGCACGUAUCCUUUUACUGAAUGUGUUAUUGUUACUUGAAUGCUCUAAGUGUUUUCUUUGAUUGAUUGUUGUUAAAUGUGCUUGAUUGCUUGUUUGGGAACUUCACUGGGUUUUUAUCUCAUUCUUUUAGUUUGUUUCCUUAUAAGAGUGGAGGUCCGGAGCAAUUAAGUGUGAACUAGUGUGUAUAACCCUCUUGUACUUGUACUUUUGGUAGAUAGAAUGUAUGUUGGACAUUUGAUGUCAUAUCUUACGUUUUACCUUUUGGUUGUAAUUAAGUUUGAAUUUUGAAUGAAUUGUAGAACUUAAAUGUUAUUUUGGAGGCUUGAACGGUUAAUUUUGAGAAUUUAAUGAAGUAAAUAUUGUGAGUUCGGGCAAGAGUUGAGCAGGCGGUUCGCCAAACCCUUGGCUAUGCCCUAGGGGGAGGUGGGGUCGUCACAUCUAUAGAUACAAAAUGAUAGAUUGAAUAACGUCACGUAUCCUUGUUCUGUAUUAGACUCCUCCACUUAACAAAACCUCGCCCUCGAGUUCUAGUCUUCUAGAGGGUAUUUCAAUAUAGGUAUAGGAUGACAAGCCGAUGAUUCUUUCAUGAAUUUUGUACGGCCUAAAUAAUAUCUGGAACUUUUGCAUCUAGCCAUGAACACUAGAAAAUCCCAAGAAGAUUUCAAACUCAACAAUUCCAUCUUCUACCUUUGUCAGAACAAGUUGGACGAACUUUCUCUAGAGGAUAUGUUACUCUACCUGCUUGGGCUUUGUGCGAAAAUUAUUAAUAGACAAAAACUUUUCAAAAAAUAACUUUCUCACCAAUAGUAAUAAUAUCUUAGCUCAGGAUACUGAUAGAGACAACAGAUUGGAUAGGAGAUGAAUCUAGCAGUGGAUAGAUGAAGAUUUCAUCAACCUUCAUGCCCACAAAUUCAUCCAAUCCAUCAAGCCUCAUAGUUGUAGAGUCGAGCUCGACUUGGGGUUCAUCAGUUGAGAAAGAUAGGACAAGGUUAGCCUUUUCACCAUCGAGUUCAUAGAUAUAUUCCUAUUCGUCCUCGAUCUCGAGUUUCAAUACUUUUAAAGGUUUAGAUUUUUCCACAACAACUGGUAUUGCAGUUUUGUGAAUUGGAUGUUGUUGUUGAGUGAUCCUAUAUUGACGAUCGUCAUAGAUCUGAUAACUAUGAGAAUUUGAAAAGAAUGCAUGAAUAUUGGAAUUGUAAGGAGUGAAUCUUCCACCUAUGCACCUUUGAUGAACAUAAUCUUAUUGUGUUGCGAGACCUACUGUCGUGCCAUCAUCACCAAUGCCUUGUCAAGGGCAUCUUCAAUGCGAUUGAAACGAUGGUGGAGUGCUCGUAGCACAGUGGAUACUUUAGUAGUUAUCACUGAAGAAGCCUGCUCUAAUAUCAUUUGAUGCAGUAAUGGAAGCAUAGGAGAUGAAGGGGUUUUACUAACACCCUUCCAAGGGGAGACGUUAGAGUGAUCCUAUAUUGACGAUCGUCAUAGAUCUGAUAACUAUGAAAAUUUGAAAAGAAUGCAUGAAUAUUGGAAUUGUAAGGAGUGAAUCUUCCACCUAUGCACCUUUGAUGAACAUAAUCUUAUUGUGUUGCGAGACCUACUGUCGUGCCAUCAUCACCAAUGCCUUGUCAAGGGCAUCUUCAAUGCAAUUGAAACGAUGGUGGAGUGCUCGUAGCACAGUGGAUACUUUAGUAGUUAUCACCGAAGAAGCCUGCUCUAAUAUCAUUUGAUGCAGUAAUGGAAGCAUAGGAGACGAAGGGGUUUUACUAACACCCUUCCAAGGGGAGACGUUACACGAAUAAGACCUAACCAUGAAUUACUAAUUCAUGAAAAAGAGAGGAAACUUUCACAAUUGAUAAAAAAAACAACCAACAAUAUAUUUUAAUUGGAGAAAAAUAUUUGAUUACAAAAGCCCUAACUAUGCCUAUUUAUAGGCUAUAAUGAGUCUUAUUUUAAAAAGGAAGCAAAUAACACUAAAAACCCUAAAUGAACAAAGCUACAUAUUUGGCUACGACGAUGUCUGGUGCCCAACAUAGGGCCAACGUCAUCUGUCAUUAUUCCUAAUAAUAAUGAAAACAAUAAUAAAACACAUAAAAAUAGUACUAAAAUUACAACCCUAACUAACUUUUAGGUAAUUACAUAUAGAACAAUAGGUUGAAUAACCAAGGGUUCCUUGCUCUGUAUCACCAAGAGUUCUUACAAAUGGUGGCUUUGAUACCUCUUGAUAAAAUUGGAGCUUUAUUAUUAUUUGUGAAACUACCUUCUAUGAUGUGGGCUAUACGUUUAACUCUUCAUUUCAAUAGAAUUUACUAAGGGGAAAGAGAAGUGUUUAAGAGUCAAAUCAAAACUGAAUCAUCACCUGGCAAAUGUUCUAAUCAGUGUAAAUUGAGCAUCUAUUGGGAAUUUGUCAAUAAAAAUUUAUGUAAGGGUUGGACAAUGUCACAUUUUUCUUUCCUACUCCCUUAUUUGUGAAUCUUGAUCAAUGUAAUAUUUUUGUGCUCUUUAUAUGUCUGUAAGUUUUGUGCCUUUCUAGAUUUAUUUUUCAUUAAUCGACCUAUAGUUUUCUUUUCUUAUAGUUUCUCUAGUUGAAUAAUUUCUUCAUUUUUCUUUCUUUUCAGUUUAUGGUUAGCAAAUUUGAAAUCCUACAGACAAUUACAUUUCUACACUCUAUUAUUUGGCUUUUUUACCUAAUGCUUUAACAUUUUUGUAAUCCUGUCACUAUAUCUAUAGCUAAUGUUUUGACAAUUUGCAUUUUUCUAUCAUUAUGUCCCAAUAUAUAACAUAUUGCUCAUAAUAUUACAUUUGGAUCGUCUAAUUAAUUGUUCUUUCUUAAAUUUUUUGAGUAGCUAUCAGGUUUUCUCAAGACUCAUUCUCUCUUCCUUCUCUUUAAAACUCCUUUACUAGCUAAUAUCUCAUUCAACUCCCCCAUGGGAGAAAGACUAGACAAUCUAAUCUUUCCCUAUGGGAUGGAGCUCUUUUCUUAGUGUUAUUUCCUUUGUUUGAAUAAAUUAUCCUAGUGAGAGAUUCUUUUCCCCUAGAUUUUUCUUGUGGAAUAUUUAUUCUCUCCUAUGAUAUUCUUGAAAGAAUAUUUUUUUUUCUUCCUUUUUCUAGUUGAUGAGACCAAAUAUUUGGUUGAUGUAAGAAAUCAAAUCUGGAGGCUAGAUCUAAAUUUUUCUUUGGGUUUGAAACAGUUUUUAUUAUAUUUGAUCAUCUAACUAUCUGAAAACAUGGACACGGAAUUGUUAGAUUGCAACAGUGCAGAUAUCUAAAUGAAAUUGUUCUUUUUAUAAAAAAAAAAAUCAUGUUUUCUCUGUUGGGAUCAAUUCUAUUUGUAACUUAUUAUAUGUUAGAGUGGUCUCUUUGUAAGUAUUGACUAUAACGAUCCUAGCCAACUAGGUUUGGGUAGGAGGGAAUGGUUAGGAAGGGGAAUAGGGGAGGGAAGGAGCGCAAUUAAUAAAAAAGUAUUGAUUAUAAUAAGUUCUAUUAGUUUUUUAAAAUUUUUAUUCAUCAAGCAUCAAAAAGUCACCUUUCAAGUUAAUUUUUUAUUUAUUAUUCUUUAAGAAAAUUAAAAACUCUUUUUCCUUUAGCUACCUUUUUUAGAUUUUUUUAUUGUUCAAAAAUAAUUUGUCUAUUCUAUUUUAUUCUAUUCUUUUCAUUUUUGUGAUCCAUCCCUACGAAAAAUUAGUAUCUUUGUUUUUCCAAUAUAUUCCUUUUUCUUAUAAUUAGUCAAUUACAAAUCAAUUACAGUGUGAUUAAUUUAGGAAAUUAAGGUAUAGGGAAAACAUUUGUCCUCUUUCACCAUAAUUAGACCAUUGCAAAUCAAAAACUAUAAAUACAUUCAAAUACCUAAUUUGUAUCGAAGAGAAAUUUAAUUAAUUACAUAUUAGAAGAAUCGCAAAGUAUUCUCUUACAUGUUACUUUACCACCAUUUUUUAGAAUAAGCAAAAUUGAAUAUAGAGUAUGAUUCAAUAUAAAUUAAAUAUCAAUUUGUUCAUGCAUUAACUAUUCUAGAUCCACCUUCAAAUCUUUGUUUUAUAUAUGGUAUCUUUAGAUAUAUAAAAUUUGUUUUUUAUUCUAUUGAAUUAAUAUUUGUUCCAUUCAUUUUGAAAAUAAAAAUUACCUAUGCAAAUUCAUGGGUUUAUAACUAGUAUUAACAUUUUGUUAUGUUACAAAAGUAUGAUAACCCACAAAAUAAGCUAUAAUUAUCUCCACAGAACAUUGAAUUAAUACUAAUAUUUUGUUAACCACAAAUGGCAAGUGUGAGACUUGAAUAUAAACUCUAUUAUUUCUGGAAUCUUAAAAUUUUUUUCUUUUAAAUUUUGUCACUAGAACAAGGCUUCAUUUUAAAAUCAAGAGUUAUAAACUAAUUUGGUCAAUGUUUGUAAACUUUUUAAAGGAAUGCUGCACUUUUGUUAAACAAGUUUGUUUAUUGAGGAGUAUCUUUUCUGUUUUCUUAUUUUGGCACGGUAAGGAGUCAAGUUGAGCUUGAAUACUAGUUUACUCAAGCUCAAGCUUAGAGUAAACUAUUGUGCAUGAGCUUGACGAACUUACAACUUUGAGACUCACGCUGAAUUCAUGUAAAAUUUAAAGAGUUCACGAUCAAGCUCAAAUUUGAACGGUAAGACAUAUAAUUUGUUCAAGAAAUAUAGAUUUUUGGAUAAUUUUUUAUUUAAUACAAACACAUGUAUGGAUACAUACAUGUGUGUGUGUUGUGUAUAUAUAUACAUUAAAUGUAUAUAUUUAUUUAUUUAUUUAUUUUUAUUGGCAUAUCUGAUACAUGAAGAAGAGAUGUUAGCCCUGAAUUUGUUCAUUAAUUUUGGGAAGGCCAAUGAAGCCUUUAUUCCAAACAAAAAAUACAAGUUUGCAAAUAAUUAAAUAAGGUGCACUACUUUUUUAUGGUCUAUUUAUGUAAUUAAGAUUUUAAAAGGCCUUCAUGGUGUUACAGUUUUAUUUUUAUUGUUGCAUUUGAGACCAUUCUCAACACUUGUGGGAGCAAAUUUAUUUUGCUCAUACUCUAUGCUUUACUAUUCAAUCAGCUAGCUAAAAUUUAAGUUUUGUGCGGUUAAGAGUUAUAUUUCAAGAAUUUUGGUGUAAAAGAUCUUGGGGAGCUAGCAUGCCUUUAAUAUAGUAAAAAUAAAGAAUGGCUGGAACUCAUGCUUUGCAUUGAUUAUACCUUCAAAGUUAAAUCUGAAAGUAAAUGUCAAUUAUAUUACAUGGCUAAAGAUAAAUUGGGAUUAAAGGCAAUGCAGUAAAAAUGAUCUUUAAGAACCUCAGGUGGAAUUUAAUACAAUUUGUAAUGAGUGAUCUUUGUAUUAGUUUAUUGUAUAAAAACUGAUAUUACCUACAUAGUAAUUAUAUGGGUGGAUAAAUUUGGUAAAUAUUUGUCUAUGUUUUGUGUAUCUGCUAAUGAAAUAAUAAAGUUUUGAGAAACUAAUCAUCACAUAUUUUCUUUGAGCAUGCUGAAAUAAUUUACAUGGAUAAUUAAGACUAUAGAUACUAGACUUGUGGGUAAUUAAGUUAUUUAAAAUCCUCUAGAAUGGAGGUUAUAUCUGUCUUAUCUUAAUGCUCAAAGGCUCACAUUGAUCUUGGAUAAAUUUGAUGUUUCCACUAUCGUGUUCAUGACAACGUACGAGUCAAAUUUUUUGACUGCUUGUGAUAUGGAUGUUUACAAUUUUUACAGUUAUCUAAAGUAAAGGGAAUGGAUUGAUAAGUAUAAUGCAGUUUACGAACGUACUUACAACGAUUAAAUGUUAAGUAAUUAUUGACCAAGUUGCUUACACUUUAAUGGUUUGGCAAGUAUGUCAAAUGUGUGGUGCUUUUUAUGUGGUCAGUGGGAGUUACAAAUAACUCGUAACUCUUAUGUAUACAAUUUUCAAUUAUGUAGUUUGAUAAAGUUUUCAUUCCCUGAUUUAUGUAGUUAUGAAUAUGAUUUUACUCAUAUACGUGCAUAUUUAAGGAUUAUAUUGCAUACAUGAGCUCAUAUAAGUAUUCAGUAAAUGUUGAAUAGUGAUUGCUUGAUAUGCAAAGUGGCUUUGUGUUAGAGGUUAAGUGGACGAAAUCCUAUACAUGCUUCCUUUGUGAAGCGGCUUCGAUUUAGAAGCACUAAAGGGGCCAUGAAACCCUGUAUAGAGUCGGUUUAAGACUAUAUAGUGGACUAAACGAGGUUUUGAUUUGAUUCUAUUACUCUUGGAUCAUGGGAGUUAAAACCCAUUAUACUUUCAUCACACUAUGGAAUUUGGAUUGAUGAAGUAUUAGUAUUUGUAAUUUUGGAGGUCCUACAUUAAUAAAUAAUGUAAAGACAUCUAUAAUUCGGAACAAUUAUUCUCUUUGUACAAAAUUCUGGAUUAAGAUAUUUUCUUAUAGAGGCCAUAAAAGUCAUUUUCUAAACUUAUUUUGACAUUUACAUUUCAAAUGAUUUCAAACUCAAGUUUGAAACAAUCAGUGUUGCUCAAGUGGAAGAAUCUUAGAAUUCUAUUCUAAUUUGGGGCUUCGCUAAUUAAUUUGGUUUUCUCAAAAAAGGGGUUAAAUUAAAACUAGUAAAACCCACUAUAGCAUGAUCCAUUACAGUUGGGACGUAGGUAUGUUUCAGUCAUCUAGGGCUUGUUAUGAAAAGGAUUAUCUUAAUGCGAGGUUUAGCUAUAGUUAUACAAGGUUUAAUCCCUUUCUCCCAUCUGAACGUUAGCAUCGUAUUGUUAGGGUGGCUCAUUCUAUUGAUGGCCACAAUACAGAACUUGGAGAGGGAGAGGGACUCCCCUAUGUGAGGCACAAAAACGAUAAGGUACCGAUCAAGAUUUUCAAGUGAGGAGGUGAUUUUUGGUUGGUACCUAGACCGACCUGGAUCAGUCCUCUCUGAGAUGAAGUGAGGUGAACUCCUGUGUCCGAAGUGAACCUCGGUGUCCGAAGUGAGUGGCGGGGCUUCUCCCCUGGUAUCACUCCGACGAUCAAGUUAGUAUGAGAACGAGAAUAAUGAGAAUGAGUUAAUGAACAGUGUGCCCACUUGUUGGGAGUGUGUCUGGGGUAUUUAUAGAAGAGAGGUGGUCAAGACGGAAGGCUCAUGCUAGCGGGACCCACUCUCUGGCAUUACUCUGGCAUUACGGCUCUGUCUCCUGUCAGGAGGUCUGACUCUGACACUGUAGCCGCCUAGGAGUGAUGACGGAGGAUAUGGUGCAGGUGCCAUUAAGUGCCUCCAGUGCUUUUCAGAUAAAGUGCUGGUCCUGGAUGAUGUCAGGUGGGUUGACAUCAUCAGCGUGCAGCUGAGGCGGGGGUGCCGAGGUCGGCUACACAGUAUGCUAUGGGAACGGCCGAGCCCGAGCUCAGGGAUGAUGUCCGGGACACGGAUGAACUCCGAUGAGGGACGAGGUGAGUCCACCUCGGCCACUCGGGAUGGCCGAGGUGAGCAUCCUCAAUAAGCCCCCCAAGCCUCGGAUGCUCCGAGCAAGGGAGGUGCCGAGGCUUCCUAGUGCUGAAGUCAUGAAGAGUCGAGGCUCCGAAACCGCUCCGGAAGAUGCGGGGACUCGACACGUGGACGAGUCAGUUGAUAGGACGUGGUCACUGAUAACCGUCGCGUCGUGAAGUAGUGGGACGUUUCGUGCAGAAGGUGUCAGUCGAAAGGACGGGGCAUUAAUGAGGAGAGAGGGAGGCGUGACGUUUUGAAUUCGAUCGUGAUCGUCUUUUCGUAUUCUUGCCGCCUCUUCGGAUUCUGGCUCUCCUCUAUAAAUAGGUGGUCCCUUUCACUGCAUGGCCCAUCACUUUCUUUCUUCGCUUGACUUGCAAAAUUUGUGAGCGUAGCCGAGAUCAAUCCUGCCAGCCGAGAUCACAGCCGAAGUCGUCCACUUCGUCCAGUUCGGUAUACAAUAGUAAGUAUCCCUUUUUCUUCUUGUCUUGUCUUUCACAUAUGGCCAAAACGGCUAAAACCCACAAAGAAACCGUGACCCCGAGCUACCAGACCGAGAUGAGGGCGGAUUCUGAGGAAGAAGCGACGACGUCCAGUUCGGAGGGGUCGGCACAGGGUUCCGAGGAAGGAUCGACCGAAGUGAGAGUCGGCGAGGCAGGCUCGGGAUUGGAAUCGUCCGAGAUGAGCGAGGGUGGUUCCGAGGUCGAGUACAAUACCAAGCUCGGGACCGAGAUACCCCAUGACGAGGGCGUGCCGGAGCCAGUUGCUCCAGUGGACGUAGCCAACAUCAAUUUCGGCCAGAUGCCGAAAUUUAGGAGUCGAGUGGGAAGGGAUAGGGCCGAGAAGGUGGUAAACAAGUACCCCUUCCGGCCGUGGUAUGAAGUUUUGCCGCCCGAGGUGGAUGACACAGCCGCGGAACCCCCCUUCGGCAUGGUGGCCGUCUACAUUCAACAGCUGGAGGCCGGACUGAGGAUGCCGACGUCGAGGUUCCUCCGGGACUUACUUCGUCACUUCCAGGUGAGAAUCACCCAACUCACCCCGAAUGCGAUCCGCAUCAUUGUGGGGUUUGAGAUGCUGUGCCGACAUCAGGAGGUGACUCCCUCCGUCGAUCUCUUCCGCCGAUGCUACACCCUCAAGGCGCACGCGACUGAUAAGGGAUGGUUUUAUGUUGGCAACCGGAACAAUGCCAUCCCGAAGUUGGUGAUCGGUGCUCCCAGCUCGAUCAAGAACUGGAAGCGCGACUACUUUUUCGUGCCCGGAGUGGACUUUCCGAGGGGUUUUUGGUGGAGGCCAAUUAAGGCGAAGGCCGACCCCUCAGCGGGGGAUGCCGAAGAGGAGUCCUUCCAGAAGCUGAUGAAGUCGGGACUUCGGCUAUUCAGCCAUGACUACCCCGAAGCCGUGCUCGUGGAUGGGGGGAUAAGUCGAGCCGUGAUCAAUACUACCAAAGCUCCCUUCUUUUCCACUGAACUUGAGAAGCCUUGUAAUUUUCUUUCAUGACUUUUCUUUUCACUUCGGCUAAGGCAUAUGAUAAUAUUUAUUUCUUGUGCAGUGACUAAACUGUCCGACCUCGUCGUCUCCGGCUCGUCCGAAGUGGCCAAGAGGCAGAAGAGGAAGAGCACUGACGAGACAUCGGCGCCUCCGCCAAAGAAGAAGUCACAAGGACCAGCCGCUAAGACUUCAGCGCCCAAAGGCAUUUCCACCAAGGCUGGCCAGAGCAGCUCGGCCACUACGGCUACUGGGUCCACCUCGUCUGCGCCAGAGGGAGUUCCCCUUGGAGUUGUUAAAAUAGCCACACCUCCUUCUGGCCGAAGCAAGCAGCUGAAGCCUCCGGUUAAUCCGGUGUCGGGGACCUCGCUAUGGAAUCGUUUCCAUAGCCCCCCAGUGUUUUCCGAAGACGAGAAGACGCACUCCGGCAAUCAUUGGUGUCCGAACUGGAAGAUUUCGGUCAACGACAGGUGCCAACACCCUCGGGUCGCUCAAGAGCUAAUAAUGCACUCCAUUCUGCCAAGAGAUUUGGAGUUCAUGAAGAAGCUGAGCCCGGCCGAGCUGGUUCAAAGUCUGAUGGUGACCACGGCUUCCACCUCAGCCUUCGCGGCCGAGAUGGCACACCGAUAUUGUGCUCUGGUCGAUGAGCAGGACACCGGCAAGCUACAGAAUCAGAUCUCCAAGUUGGAGAAACAACUGGCGGUGUCCGAGUCUGAGAAGGCCGAGCUUGAAAGGCGGCUUAAGGAGGCCGAGGUGAAGGAUGAGGAGGCCGUGGCUACUGUCAACAGUCUCAGAUCGGCUCUCGAAGAAGAGCAGAAGAGGGGGGACGAGGCGAAGAAGUCCCACCAGCAAGCCCUUGACAGUGCUGGAGCCUCGGCGGUGGACGAAUUCCGGAGGUCUGAGGCCUUCACCAGGGAUCUCGGCCAACUGCUCACGCCGAACUUCAUGUUUGGCUUCACAUCAGCCAUAGACGAGGCUGCAGCUCAUCUCGCUCCCGAAGCCUUGGAGUCUCUGAAAAAUCAUACCAGUUACAACGAGCACUCCAAGGAGUUGUGCGACCGGAUGGCUGAGGGCCUCCAGGCUGGAAGGGACCUGGCCGAGGUCCAGGCCGAGUUCAACAAAUGGCUGUCCGAAAUCGACGAAGUGUUCGAGGGGGUUGAAGAGGAAGAGACUGGAGAGGAUGCCGGGGGAGACGAAGCCGGAGGGGACGUCGGCAAAGAGCCUGGAGAUGAAAUUCACCCCGGCGGAAAGGAGGCCGAAGAGAUGGAUGCCCAGGAGGGAGCCAAGACCGGGGAUGCAGCCGAUACGGGGGUUUAGGCUUGUAGGCUUCAAGGGGGUGGCCGAGGUGAAGUGUCUAGUAGCACUCCGACUUCGGCCUUGUAUUUUUUGUAAUACUUCUAUUGAAUGAAAGUCUGUUUCUUUUCAUCUCAGCUCUUUAAUUUCUUGUUUCUUGCUUUGACUUCAUCCCUUGCUUGUCCCCCUUAUUUUUUAACUGCGUAAUAACGAUGUUGAAAAAAUAACAUAAUAGCCGAAGUCAUAGCUUGGCAAGAUAACUGGAUAGAGUCAACUUUGAUGAAAUAACCGAAUGGAGUCAUAACUUCAAGCAUAAUACAACCUAAGGUUCUCGGCGUGCCAAAACCUCGGCACUAAUGAGUCAUCUCUGUAGCUCAGUUUACAAUACCCUUUAGGGUCAGAUUCCACAACUCGGUAAGGGCCUUCCCAUUUCGGGCACAGUUUUCCUUGAGGUUCAGCUCGGCUGACUGAAUUUUUUCUGAGAACCAAGUCUCCCGGACGGAAUCUACGAUGUCUGACACGGGCGUUGUAAUAGCGUGCCAGUGUGUUCUUGUAUGAAGCUAUCCGGGCUGAGGCGAGAUCCCUUCGUUCUUCGACGAGGUCGAGGUCCAGCUGCCUCUCUUCGUCGUUCACCUCGGCGGCAUAGGCUGCCAGCCGAGGGCUGGGAGUAAGGAUUUCAGCCGGGAUGACAGCUUCGGCGCCAUAGGUGAGGGAGAAUGGGGUCUCUUGUGUCGCUGACCUCGGCGUGGUCCGAUAUGACCACAAGACACUGGGGAGUUCCUCCACCCAAGAUGACCCAACUUGGUGUAGUCGGGUCUUGAGGCCAUGCAGGAGAGUCCGGUUGAAGUUUUCUGCUUGACCAUUGGCCUGGGGGUGGCCAACCGAAGUGAAGUGUUGCUUGAUGCCGAGAUUCUCGCACCAGGUCUUGAAUGGAUUCUCGGCAAAUUGUCUCCCAUUGUCCGAGAUGAUGAUCUGAGGUAUGCCGAAGCGGCAGACAAUGCACUUCCAAAAGAAUUUUUGAAUGGUCAGCCCCGAGAUGGUCCGAAGUGGCUCGGCCUCGACCCACUUAGUGAAGUAGUCCACAGCAGUCACAAGGAAGGUAUAGCCCCCGACCGCUUUAGGGAAAGGACCUAUGAUAUCUGUCCCCCAUUGCUCGAAUGGCCAAGGUGAAGUGAUGGGAACCAUGAAAUUUGAGGGCUGGUGAUGCUCGGGUGCAUGGACUUGGCAGGAAGGACAGCCGAGGACGAGGUCCUGGGAGUCUUGCCGAAGUGACGGCCAGAAGUAUCCAAGGAGCAUAGUCUUCUUGGCUAACAUCCUGUGGCCGACAUGAGCUCCGCACAGGCCUUCGUGGAUCUCGUGGAGGAUAUGACGUCCGGCCUCGGGAGUGAUACACCUUAGACAGGGGCCGAGGUAAGAGCGUUUGUACAAUUCUCCAUCGCGGAGGGCGUAUCGAGCCGCCUUGCGUUGUAUUCUUCUCGCCUCGGCUCGGUCUUCAGGGAGUGUUCCUUGACCCAAGAAAAGGAUGAACGGGGUCAUCCAGGUAUUUUCGGAGUGCACGGGGCAGGCCACCUCUUCCACAUAUGCGGGUUCAUUCAGAACUUCCACUAAGACCGUCUUGUUGAGGUCAGAGAAUGAAGUGGAGGCCAGCCGGGAUAAGGCGUCGGCUCGCUUAUUCUGGGACCGGGGGAUUCUUUGGAUUUCGAAUGACUUGAAAUAUGCGGUUAGUUGGUGAACCUUGGAGAGGUACCUUCGCAUGGUCUCAUCCUUAGCCUCGUAUUCGCCAAGAGCUUGGCGCACAACAAGUUGGGAGUCACUGCGGACAUGGACUUGCUGGGCGCCGAGCCCUCGGGCCAGCUGGAGUCCAGCAAUUAAGGCCUCGUACUCGGCUUCAUUAUUGGUGGCUGGGAAGCCAAAGCGAAGGGCGUAGGAGCAUACCUCUCCUUGAGGUCCUUCCAGGAGUAGCCCGGCUCCGCAGCCUUCUCCAUUAGAGAAUCCAUCGACAUACAAUGUCCAUGGGGAUGAAGUGGACACUUCAGCUCCGGCGGAGGCGGACUCCGGACCUUCCGUGAAGGUCAGCUCGGCGAGGAAGUCGGCUAAGGCUUGUGCCUUUAUAGCUGUGCGAGGCUCGUAUGUUAAGUCAUACUCUCCCAGCUCGACAGCCCACUUGGUGAGGCGACCAGAAGCUUCGGGUCGCACCAAUAUUUGCCGAAUGGGCUGGUCAGUCCUGACCGAGAUAGGAUGGGCUAAGAAAUAGGGCUUCAACCGCCGAGCGGCAUGGACUAGUCCCAGCACCAGUUUUUCCACCUGAGUGUAUCGAGUCUCCGGCCCGCGAAGAGCUCGGCUGACGUAGUAGACCGGCACUUGGGUGCCCUCAUCUCGGAUGAGCACAGCGCUGACAGCCUCGACGGCUGCAGAGAGGUAGAGGUAGAGCUUCUUCUCGGGCCGAGGUGAAGCGAGAGUGGGCAGAUGGUGCAAGUACUGCUUCAGCUGGUCGAAGGCAGACUGACACUCCUCAGUCCAGGCGAACUGAUCAGACUUCUUCAGCACUUUAAAGAAGGGCAGGGCCUUCUCAGCAGAUUGAGACAAAAAGCGGUUCAGUGCGGCCAGGCGUCCAUUCAGUCUUUGGACUUCUCGGAGGUUCCGAGGUGGGGACAUAUCUUGAAUGGCCUUGACUUUGUCCGGGUUGGCCUCGAUCCCCCGAUGGGAAACCAGAUACCCCAAGAAUUUUCCCGAGGUGACGCCGAAGACGCACUUCUUGGGAUUCAGCUUCAUUCUCGAGUCUCGCAGGACCCCGAAGACUUCCCUCAAGUCUAACAGGAAGGAUGAAGUGGCGAGACUUUUGACGAGGAUGUCAUCCACGUAAGCCUCCACAUUACGGCCGAUCUGAUUCUUGAAGAGUCGGUUGAUCAGCCUUUGGUAGGUCGCCCCGGCGUUCUUUAGCCCAAAUGGCAUGGUGGUGUAGCAAUAAACACCCUGGUCGGUGUAGAACGCCGUCUUCUCUUGGUCCUCUUCACUCAUUCCUAUUUGAUGAUACCCUUUGAAGGCAUCUAGGAAGCAAAGGAUCUCGUACCCCAUCGCCGAGUCGACGAGGGUGUCUAUCCUCGGGAGGGGAUAGCAAUCUUUGGGACAGGCCUUGUUGAGGUCGGUGUAGUCUACACACAUUCUCCAUCCGCCGGUGUCCUUUUUGACCAUGACUGGGUUGGACAACCAGGUCGGAUAUUGGAUUUCGUGGAUCAUCUUGGCCGGCAAGAGCUUGCCGACCUCGUCCGAUAUGGCCUUGCUGCGUUCGGGGCCGAAGUGUCUUCGCUUCUGCCGCACAGGUCGGGCCUGUGGGUUAACGUUAAGUUGGUGAGUCAUAAGCUCGGGUGGCACUCCGACCACUUCAUCUGCGGACCACGCAAAGAUGUCUCGGUGGUCCUUGAUCAGGGAGAUCACUUCUUCUUUCAGGGGUGAAGGGAGUCCGGCCCCUACUUGGACCACUCGGUCAGGCUUGGCUUCAUCCAAGACCACUUGUUCCACUUCAUCCCCUGGCUCAAGCCUGCUGGGCUCUCCUGCCUUGUGAGAGUCGAUGCAGUCUAUGGAGAGGACAGCCGGCCUCUUUUCUUCUGACCUCGGCGGGGGCUGAGGUCCGACUGCGGCUUGGAUGGUGGCGAGAUAGCAUUCUCGGGCGGCGCCCACGUCACUGCUCACCUCAGCCACCCCCUCUGGUGUUGGAAAUUUGAAGCUUAGGUGGUAGGUAGAAUAUACGGCUCUCAAGGCAUUGAGCGUGGGCCGGCCUAUCAGCAUGUUGUAAGGAGAGUCCGCUUUGACCACCGCAAAGCUGACAGGCACAGUUCGGCAACGGGGAUGACGCCCGAUAGUCACCAUUAAAUUCACCAUGCCUUCCGGGUGGACGACGUGUCCCCCGAAGCCGACAAGGGGAGUUCUGACCGGAGUGAGUUGUUCCCGGGUUAGCUUCAAGCUCUCGAAAGUUCGGUAGUACAGGACGUCUACCGAGCUUCCGGGGUCAACGUAGACCUUCUUGACUAUAUAAUUGUUUGUGAGGAUCUCAAUCACGAGGGUCUCGUGAUUGCUGGAGGCAGCGGGGACAGGGUCGCGGGGACCAUAAAUUAUGACCUCGGACAGCCUCGAGCUCGGCUCGGCCACAUCCAUGCCGGCUUGGCGGUAGGUCCGCUUUCGGGAGCUCUGGCUGUCUCCUCCCGUGGGACCACCUGAGAUGGUGUUGAUCACCCCGGCAAUGUUUGGACCAUAGCCUGGUGACCCGUCGCGUGGAGGCCUUUGGUCCCCUUUCUGGUCCUCAGGACCUCGGCAGUUGAACUUGGUGUCCCGCCUGUCUUCUCGGCGAGGACCUCGGCUCUCCCGGUGGGAGGCACUUCGUCCGAAGCUUCCAUCUUUGCGGACAAAUUGUUUCAAGUGUCCUUGCCGAAUUAGAUUUUCGAUCUCUCGUUUCAGAUCGUUGCAGUCUUCGGUCUCGUGCCCAACAUCUCGAUGGUAGGCACAGUAGAGGCUGGAGUUCCUCCUAUCUCUUCUUCCAGGGAUCUCAGGAGGUGUUCGGCCGAGGUGGUUCUGCCUCAUCACAGCCAAGACAUGAGAUCGGCUGGAAUUGAGCGGUGUUAGCUCAGCGUCCGAGGUGGAAGAUCUUCCUUUCACGAUCCGGUCAAAGACACUCCGGCGGUCCCGUGGUGGGUUUGAAGUGCCACUUGGGCCGGGUUCACCUCGGCCGAUGUCUUUCCUUCUCCGGGCAUCUUGUCCCGUACGAGAGGCUUGGGUUUCUCGCUUCAUGCGAUUCACAUCUUCACUUCGGAUUCCCUGGUCCACUCUUUCCCAGAGUUCGUGAAGUGUACGAGGGUAAUCCCGAUGGAUUUCGGUGUUGAAGAGUCCGGCCACCAACCCGUUGGUAAAGGCCGCGAGAGUUACCUGCUCGUUCUGAUCAGGUAUUUGCACAUUCUCCUCGUUGAACCUCUGAGCAUACGAGCGAAGAGACUCGCCCUGACCCUGUUGAAGGUUCAAGAGAUAAGCUGAAGUCUUCGUGAUUGGUCGAGACGACACGAAGCGGUGGAUGAACCGGUCUAUCAGUUCAUCCAGGGAGGAAAUGCUCCCUGGUUCCAAACUCCAGAACCACUUCCGGGCAGUCCCAUGUAGGAAAAUGGGGAAAGCCCGACAAAUCACGGCGUCGGGGACGCAGUAGAGUCGGAAUGCGGAGAUGAAGGCGCGGAGGUGAUCCUCGGGGUCACCUCGGCCGUCAUAGGUGUGCAAGUUUGGAAGCUUGAAGUUCGGGGGCACCCUUUCCCCAUUGAUGUCAUCCGUAAAGGGCGGGGCCCUCAUGUAGUCCGAAGCUAGGCCCCCGGGGCGCCGAGGUGGGUCCUCGGCCCGUUUCCCUAGGAGUCCUCGAGAAAACGCUCGGGAGAUGGAGGCAAUUUUAGAGGUCGCCUUGGAGGAGGCACGCCUGGAGGUACUCCGAGAGAGACGCCCCUCAUCGGAGUCUUCAUCUGAAGGUGCCUCAGGGGACUUCGUCGGCCUCCUCUUGGAAGAUUCGGCCUUUUCUUUCCCCUGUCUUUUGAGAUACCUUCCUAGCUCCUCAAAAAUGGUAGGGUUGUGUGAUACGAACUCGGCCAUCUUGGCGAUGGCCUCCUCGUUGUCAGGCUGGGUCCUCGGGGACCCUUGCUCUUCAGAGAUGCGAUCUUGCUGGGCUCCCGAGGUCUGCCCAACCCCAGUUGAGGGAACUCGACCACUUCUGGAGCGCGUGGAUCUCAUUUUAGUAACAGUAGUCUCGUUCCCACAGACGGCGCCAAUUGAGGAGGUGAUUUUUGGUUGGUACCUAGACCGACCUGGAUCAGUCCUCUCUGAGAUGAAGUGAGGUGAACUCCUGUGUCCGAAGUGAACCUCGGUGUCCGAAGUGAGUGGCGGGGCUUCUCCCCUGGUAUCACUCCGACGAUCAAGUUAGUAUGAGAACGAGAAUAAUGAGAAUGAGUUAAUGAACAGUGUGCCCACUUGUUGGGAGUGUGUCUGGGGUAUUUAUAGAAGAGAGGUGGUCAAGACGGAAGGCUCAUGCUAGCGGGACCCACUCUCUGGCAUUACGGCUCUGUCUCCUGUCAGGAGGUCUGACUCUGACACUGUAGCCGCCUGGGAGUGAUGACGGAGGAUAUGGUGCAGGUGCCAUUAAGUGCCUCCAGUGCUUUUCAGAUAAAGUGCUGGUCCUGGAUGAUGUCAGGUGGGUUGACAUCAUCAGCGUGCAGCUGAGGCGGGGGUGCCGAGGUCGGCUACACAGUAUGCUAUGGGAACGGCCGAGCCCGAGCUCAGGGAUGAUGUCCGGGACACGGAUGAACUCCGAUGAGGGACGAGGUGAGUCCACCUCGGCCACUCGGGAUGGCCGAGGUGAGCAUCCUCAUCAAGCAUCUCUAAUAACACGGUAGUGGAAAUGUAAGAGCAGAAGGGGUUUCAUGAACAUCCUCCCAAUGAGGAAUGUUAUAUGAAUGGAUCCCGAUCACGAAUUAAAGAUUCGUGAAAAAAGAGAGAAAUUCUAAAAAACUGGGCAAUUCCAAUAAAGUCUGAUAAAAGUUGAUAAGAGAAUGAGAUAUUACUUAGGCCCUAUUUGGCAAAUAACUCCCAAUAAAUAUCUGGGUGAAACUUAGGCCUCAUUUGGCGAAUGAGUUUUUUGGGUGUUUGUCUAAAAUUUUACUGUAACUUACUGUAAAAAUUAUAGGAAAAAUUUUUAAAUUAAAAACUUUUUUCUUUUCUUUUUUUUCUUUUUCUUUCUUUCUUCUUUUCUUUCCUUUCUUCUUCAUCUCCCUUCCCCCUCCCUUGUCACCUCCUCCUUCUAGUUGGAACAAGAAUUUUUUUUGCUCUUUUCUCUUUCCCCCUCUUCUCCCUCCCCUCCCCUCUCCCCCCUUUUCCGAUCGGGCAAAGGGGUAAGGGAAGGGUGGUGGGGGAGGGAGAAGGGGGGAGAGAGGUGGCGGGGAAGAGGGGAGGAGAGGGAGAGGAAGAAGAGAGAGAGAGAGAGAAAAAAAAAAGGCGUGGCCUUCGGCGUUGGCCGAGGUGGUGGUGGGUUGAGGUGGAAGGAGAGAGGAGGAAGAAAUUUUUUUUGUGUGUUUUGGAUAUUUUGAAGUAUGUAGUUUAAAAAUUUUGUGGAGUUUUUUAAAAUUAUUGUAGUUAAAGUUGUUAAAAAAUUGGUAGGAAACAAACUUAGCCAAAAAUUCAUUUGCCAAACAGGCCAUUAGUUCUAGGAAUGCUUUGAAAAUCCUUGUUAGAGGGAUAGUGAAAUUCUUGUUAUCCAUUAAUAUCUAAGGUCAUGUUAUUCAAUAAUGGUAAUUGUGAAAAUUUUUUUUCUUUUUGGAUUGAUUUUUAUUCAUAAAUUCAAGCUGUUAUUCAAAUUAUAGUAAUUUAUUGUUGAAUUUGGAUUAUUUAUGUUGAAUUUGGCUAGGUAUAAAGUUAAUUGAAGAUGCAUAAAAGUUUCAUAAAUAAGGCAGCCUGUUUGGACUUUGUUUUCGAUGAGGUGUCGAUUAUGUUUGUGAACUUUAAUGACACAAAGGGCAAGCUACUCCUACUCCUGAUACUUAUUUUGCAUUUGGGGACGAGUCCGGCAUCCCGCGCUGGAGUUGAUACCGGUGUAGUAAAAUAGUAAUCCAAUAUGCAAUUAACGAAUUUCUUAUGUUUAGUUAAGAAGAAAGCGGAAGAAAACAAGAAUAUGAGAACAGAUGGAAAUUAAUGUAAAAGAAAAGCAAAAAAAAAAAAAGGCAAAUUACACUGUAUUUCCUAUAAUUUAGUAUUUUUGUACAUAACCCGCCUAUAGUUUUAAAAGUUAUAUAUAAUCCCCUCAUAAUUUGGAUUAAAGUGUCAAAAUAACGGAAAUAAUCAUUCGUAAAGGAACCUAUAAAAUGUCGAAAUUACCCUUAUUUAAAAACUCAAAUUGUUGAAGUGAUCAACAUAUAUAAAUAUAAUAUGCAUGACACUCUAACCUUGUAUGAUUUUAUAUUUUAUGAUAUAACCUCCUUAUGAUUUAAUGUUUUACUAUAUAUGCAUAAUUUGCUUGUAGUCAAUAAAUAAUUUUCAACUUUAUAUAGGGGCAUUUUUGACAUUUUAAUUGACUCCAUUAUGGAUUACAAAUUUUGUUACUUUGAUAAUUUAAUUCAAAUCAUGAGAAAAUUAUAUAUAAUUUUUAAAAUUAUAGGAAGAUUAUGUACAAAAAAAAAUACUAAACUAUAGGGAGGUAAAAUGUAAUUUACCUGUAUGCAGCGUCCCGCCCCUUUCCUGUCACUGGAUUGGGAGGACUGUAGUAUGAAAGACUGCAAGCAACUGUAAUACGCAUCUCCUUAAUACUACUGCUCCAUCAUUAUUAGCUAGUGUUAUUAUUGACUUGGUAGUAGUAUUCCUGUCACUUGGCUGCAUUAAAUAAGCUUAUUAAUCAACAACCCUGACAGAUUCUUAGACUGUUUAUUCCAACAAUUUGCCGAAUAAUGAUAUUAAUUAAUACUUACUCCAUGAAGUAUGUAACUUAAUCCUCUCAGAUUUUCUGUAAUCACAGCAGUGUUAUUAACAUGUUUUCAUCGAGUGAUAAAAUUUAUUAUGUAUUCUGUGGUUAUUGUUGCAGUAUCUAUCUACAUAUUUGGUCUUUAACAUUUAAUAUUUACGUCCAUUAUAUUCUGUAGUUAUAUUGUUGUAAUGAUUUCCACGAAGACUUCCAAGUCAUCGUGCCUGUUUCAAGCCACCGUGAGCCAUCGUUCCGAACAAUGGAGGUUCUUGCGUGAAUAUGUUUGUAUGGGAGAACGAAUAUGUAUCUAAUGAUACACAGAACAACUGAAAGAAAAAUGCUUAUAAACAAAACCGUAAUCUUCGCACUAUAUAACAUAGGUUUUGCUGAAGAACAGACAGAAAUUCAAGGUCAACCGCGCACGAUUGAGCUUCAUGCGACAAUCUUAUUUUACUUGGGCAUGGAUAACCAACCCAUUGUUUAUUUAUUUAUCAUUUUCGCCUCCUUCAGUAGAUAGCGACCGAGAGGAACUGAUCAGACAGCACGAGCAUAGGACCGUAGCAGGGACUUGAAAGUUACCCCGUGACCAAAGUAGGGGUAAACCGUGAUGCCUCCAUAAACAGGAGAGUUCUGCAGAUAGGGAAGAACAUCAUAAACUAGCUCAUUAGGUGGGAUGUAACCGCCCUCAGAUGCGAUAGAAGAGCUUAUUGGUAUUCCCAGGUACAAUUUAUGAACGCCUGGAUAAUCAGACCAACUGUCCCAGCUCCGGAAGAGGAGACUGGUAUCGUUUGGAGGCAGAAACUCACAAGAUGGGUUGUCGAAAAAUUCCACCCGCACCUGAUCAACGACUCCAGUUCUGAUAGUUGGGUCAAGAAAAAGGUUAGGAAUAGGACAUUCCCCCGCUACAGCUAAGGUUACAUUUGGGUAUCCCUUAAGUGCCAGAGCAAGAACAUCCAAGUAAUUCGGGUUUCCGCUGUGGAUGUGAAGCUCUACGCCAUCUAAAACAGCUGUGCCGAAUGGACGGUCGCUUGAUUCACCGCCUAAGUAAGUGUUCCAGACAUAGGCUGCCACUUCUUGCGCAUCUUCGACGGAAGAAAGAUUCGAUGGUCCUGCGAGAGAAAUAAACACUUUGGUCUGAUUAUUCUGGCAAGAUUCUAUGUCUGCUGCGCUCGGCCAAGGAUGAAUUACGUUCAAUUCAGGCAUGUGGCCGCUACCAAAAUCUUUCAGAAAGGCAAUAUUCACGUCGGUAGCGAAUUCUCGCCUGCAGAACUCAGCCAAACUUGAUGGUUCUGAAUGGCCUCGGCCCCAGUAUUGGACAAUUCCGGCAGCUUCGGAGGACCCAAUCAGAGAAGCAAUCAACAACAGGAAUGUUAUUGCUGAGAACAGUGGUUGCAAAGAGGCAGCCAUUUUUUUUUCUUUCUUUUCAGUGAUUUUUGGAGCUUUGCUUUGGUGAGUUCACUUGCACAAAUGACUGACCAUUUUAUAGUUGAGUUUAUCUCAAGUGGAUGUUCAGCAUCUAGAAUAUCCAAACAUCCGUACACGAAAACGUGAAUGGCAUGACUUCUCAUUUCUGCGCUCAAAAACGUGAAUGGUAUUAUUUAAUUAUGUUUAAGUUGUCAAGAUUUUCCCACUCAAUCCUUCAUUCAACAGCUGUGAUGGUGCUGUGACGCGCGGUCUUAAGCAAGAAAUUUUUUUUUUCCUCGACCUCAAUGUGAAUGUGACUCACAUAUAUAAAUAAUCUCAUAGCAAAAUAUGUUCUUACUGAUCACAGAAGUGAAGCUUGUGCACAGGAAUGUAUAGAAUCCAGUUGCAUGCAACUAAUCACUGUUUAAGCAUACGAAUUAACCAUCACGAGCUAAGACGCAGAGGCAAGCCAAACUCCAAAGCCAAUUCCCAGUUGGCUCUAGUUAAAGGGAUCUUCCUCUAACCUGUCGUCACUUCCUUUACAGAAGCCAAGACAGCAGAAACUAUGUCCACAGCCGAGAUAUGUCUCUGCUGAAACAUAGACAAAUUCCUUGCUGUCCAUAGCCACAACAUUGAAAGCCAAUCCCCAGACCUGAUCAGCAAAAUAGUUUUGAGUGGCAGUCCAGGUGCAAAUGCAACCGCGUUGUGAUACAACAUUGAAGGCUCAAAACAUUAAGGUUGAGAGUUCAACAAUUAACCCUUUUUGUUUCUUAAAUUCCACCCUUCAAUCCUACGUCAUUGAAGGCUCAAUAGGCUCAAAACAUAUUGAGCCUUCAACUACUCAUCCUAUUUUUCUAGAUUUUUAAUUUUUUUUUUCAAAAAUUGAUUCAUGUCUUCGGUUUGGAUUCACCAUAAUGUCAUGCAUUGCUUUGUUGCUUUUAAUUCCUUAAUUUUAACGUAGCCCCAGACAUGGCAUAUAAUAGUCACUCUCUUAAUAAAUGCAAUUAAUUAAUCAUACCAAACAUAAGGUUGGGAUUAGGUAUUGUAGCAUACCUUAGUUUUAUUUUGUUCCCUAUUUUACUUAGGCCUUGUUUGGAUUGCAUUUUUCUGAAUUUUUUGUAGAAAAAUUACUGUAGUAAUUUAAUAUAUGUGAAAUAAAAAAGUGAUAGGGAACUAUGGUCACAGAAAACGUAGCAAUUUUUCUGAAGAAAAUCGCUGUCCAAACAGAUCCUUAGUUUCAAACAUGCCCUACAAUGUUCAACCCUAUAAUAAUGCAAUUAAAUAAAUAUACCAAAAAUAUUUAUACAUAGUUGAAACUAAAAAUAAUUGUAUCCAUAAUAAUCAAUAUAAAAAAUUGACUAAAAUACAAUCUUUGACUAACAUAAACUAAUAAUUUAAGUUCUUGUCCUCCAAAGAAAUAACAAUAUUCCAAAUCACACAAGCUGAACAGCUUAGCAAAUUAGCAAAACUGACUAACAAACACAACACAAAAUUACGAAAUAUUCAACAAUUUUGUAUUCUUUUCCUAACUAAAAUUUACAAAUCAUACCCGAAAAAAGGGAACUAAUCUAAGUUCCUAUCCUCCAAAGAUAUAACAAGAUUCCAAAUCAUAUAGUUAAACAAUUUACCGCAUUAGCAAAAUUGACUGAAAAAAAUACAAAAAGAGAACAACAAAAAUUUCAAUAUUUUUUGUAUUGCUUUCCUAAGUAAAAUUUACAAAUCAUACCCAGAAUAAAAAAAUGAAAUAUACUUAUCAGAUACUUCAAUUUUUGGAAUCACCAUGCACAGAAAAUAAAAAAUAGCUCUAAAUUUCAGCCCAGACCUAGAUCUAAAAUUGGACCUGAAUUAUAUAUAAUCGGAUGUUAUUCAUGCUAUUAGAAUUGUUAGAUUUUGUUAGAGCAUAAAAAAGAAAUAUAAUAUUUUUACCUAUUCUUUUGUUGAGCAAUUAGAAUCAAAAUUAUAUCAUCGUUAUGACUAAAGAAAUGGAGAAGGAUAUUUUCCAACUACUUAAAGUUUUUAUUUAAACUAAAGACAAAUUAAAACUACGAAAAUCAGUUUAGAAAGGAUAAUAUGAAAAUAAUGCACAAAAUUUGGCUCCAAAGAUGCAGCAUCUACAGAAGGGACGAUUUGCAUUCAGGGGUUGCGGGGAUAUGGAAAAGUAGCAUGGAACGGGGUUGUUGCAAGGUGGAGUAUGAGGACAAGUUAAUUUUUCACAAAAUUAAUUACAUCAUCAAGUAAUAAAAAUUUAAAUAAAUAAUUUCAAACCAAAUCUAAAAUAAAUUAAACACCAUAAAAGUGUUUUAUCCUAAACCAAAUAUAAAAUAAAUUAAAACAGCAUAAAAGUAAAAAAUAACAUAAUAUAUUAUUUGUCCAAAUAUAAUAAUUUUAACUUCACACAAGUUAAAUAAAUUCAUUUAGGAUUAAGUAAUUAAUACCUUUGGAAAAAAAGAAUGAUUUAGUUUAGUUAGAUAAAAUAAUUUUAAUGUUUAUUAAAUUAGUUUUAAUUCGUAAAUGGGUCACAUCGGGUCAUAUCAGGUCACCACGGGUUGACCCGAAAUUGACCUGUUUUCUUUUCGGGUUCAUCGGGUUCGACCCGAUUCUAACCCGAACUCCCGAAACCUCAACCCAAACCCAUUAAUUUCGUGUUAGGAUCGUGUCGUGUUUUCGGAUCGUGUCAGGAAUUGCCACCCCUAAGGACAAGGGAAGAAGGAAGCAGGAAGCUGACAAGGCAGGGAUUGUCGGAAAAGUUAAAGGAAGCCAAGGCUGUUUGGACAGUAAUUUUUCAAAGAAAAAUUAUUACUUUUUUCGUGAACAUAUUUUCUUAUCAUCUUUUUAUCUAAUAUAUGUCAAAUCGUUAUAAUAAUUUUUUUACAAAAAAUUCAGAAAAAUACAAUUCAAACAAGGCCUACAUUUACGCAAUGAUACUAAACUACUUAAAGUUUGAACUUCCAAACUAAUUACUUAGAAUAUAGGUUGAAAAAAGAAAAGUCAGACAUUUAUGGGUCUGAAAGGAGUGUGUAUAAAUCUAUGGGUGCCGGGCAGCCCGGCACCUGACACAAACCUUUUUUUUUUUUUUCUCUAAAAAGAUGGCAGGUGCCGGGCUGUGUCUACCCGGCACCUGACACAAAAUAUUUUUCCCCAAAAUUGAACAACUGAAAUGGCCUCCCAAAAAAAUGAGCUUUUGACCAUAAGGGAUUACUUGAAUAAUAUCACUUCUUUGGCGUUUUAUUUGAAUAAUUUUUAUAUUAUGUUAGUUAAUUGGUGAUAAAUAUUUUAUGUUGUUGUUAUAUUAUGUUAUUAAUAUUUUUUAUUAAAUAAAUAUUUAAUUUAUUGUAAAAUAGUUGUAUACAAAUAUGUAAUUUACUUUUUAGGUAAGUUAGCUAAUAUUAGUUUAAUAACACGAUACAUGCUUAAUUGAAUUAGUUUAGUGAUAGAAUUACUUUAAGUAGUUUAAUUAGUUGUUUAAAUUUGUUUAAUGGAUUAAUUUAAAGAGACUAAUUAAAUGAAUGUAGAUGUAAUUUAUGUAGUAUUGAAUUAUGAUUAUGAAAACUUGUUAAUUAGUUCGGGUUAUUUAAGUAAUUGAAAGAAUUGGCAUAUUUAAUAAAUUCAAUACAUAAAAUUGAUGUAUUUAGCAUAACAUAAUUAACGAUAUUAGUGUUAUUAGUUUAAUGCAAUUCACUUUAUUAUGCAAAUUAGUUGAUAAUUAGUUCAUGUUAUUUAGUAUAUGAUUAGUUUAAUUAGUUUAGUGGAUUAAUUAGUUUAAUUUAUUGUGGAAUUAAUUAAUUUUAAGAGGUUCGAUUAAAUGAAUUUAGAUGUAUCUGGCGAGGUUAAUUAAUUGAAUGAAUUUUUGUAUUGAGUUUUGAUUAAGAUAGCCAUUUAGUCAAGGCAAUUUAAGUAUUUGAAAUAAUACCCAUGCUAAUAAAAUAAAUACAUAAAAUUAAUGUAAUUAGCAUAGCUUAAUUUCGACACUAGUGAUAUUAGUUUAAUGUAAUUCACUUUAUUUGUUAAGUUAGUUGAUAAUUAGUUUAUGUUAUUUAGUAUAUGAAUAGUUUAAUUAGUUUAGUGGAUUAAUUCGUUUAAUUAAUUGAAUGAAUUAAUUUUAAGAGGUUAGAUUAAAUGCAUUUAAUUAAGGUGCUGAAUUAGGUUUAAUUUGUUAUUUAUUAAAUAUUCAUUAAUUUAUUAUACAUGAUUUAAUUAUUUAAUUAUAAUACAUUAUUUGAUGUUAUUUGUUAUUAUUUGUUGUUAUUUAAUAGACCUUGAGAAAUUUCUUUACGAAACUCCAUGGCUGCGUAAUAGUUAAGUGCAUAUAGGGAUAUUUAGAAGAAUAAAGCGCCAAAGAAGUGAUAUUAUUCAAGUAAUCCCUUAUGGUCAAAAGCUUAUUUUUUUGGGAGGCUAUUUCAGUUGUGCAACUUUGGGGAGAAAUAUUUUGUGUCAGGUGCCGGGCUGUGUCUGCCCGGCACCCAUGGGUCUUUUUAAAAAAAAAAUUUGGGUGUCAGGUGCCGGGUUGUGUCUGCCCUGCACCUAUAGAUUUAUACACGCCCUCUGUCAGACUCAUAAAUGUCUGACUUUUUUUUUUUCAACCUAUAUUCUAAGUAAUUAGCCGAACUUCCAAUUGAAAUUAAGAAUAAGGAUGUUUGUUAAACAAAAAUUAUAUUAAAAACUAGUUUUGGGUGGGAGUGUUUUUCAAAAACUAGUUUUUCAAAUACAAUAAAAAUUUUUAAAAAGUAUUUUGAAAGGUAAUCUAAAAAUUAGUUUAAAUUUUUCUAAAAUUUUAAAAAUAUUCCAAAAUAUAUUCUAGAAACUCUUAUACUCUUAAAUAUCCCAUAAUAUUUUCUAAAAAUAUUCCAAAAUAUACUCUAAAAACUCUGUUACAGUAAAAUUUUUUAAAAAUACCCUUAAAACAGCUAAUCUAAAAGUAUGAAAAUUAGUUUAGGAACGACAAUUCACAAAUGUUACACAGAGUGUGGCUCCAUUUUGAUGGGUUACUUUUAGGAUGCUUUUAGAAAACUUUCAUAAUAGGAAUAUUCUUUUAAAAUCUUUAUGUGUAGUAUUUUUGGGGUCCAUUGAAAAUUUUUGGCAUGUUAUGUUUUCAUUGUUGGCAUUGAAUACAUUUAAAAAUGGCCGGUAAGCAAUAAAAUGAGUCUCGGCAAUAGCGAAAGAUAGUUGGUGAUGGGUCCACCGCAAGGUUGUGCGUUUUAGGCUAGUAGGAAGGCGGUGGAGUGUAGGUGGCAAUUGGCAAAGAUUUAAGAUGACUAAAUUUAUUUAACAAUAUUAAAUUUACUUUGGAUUAAUCUUAUAUAUAUUAUCACUAUUAGAUAUAUGACACAUGAGUAAAAAUUCAAUAUUAUCACUAAUUAGAUUUUUUUCUCAUUAGAUAUAUGACACAUUAGGUAUUUUUACAUUUUUACUCAUUAGAUAUAUGACACAUUAGAUAUUUUUACUCAUGUGUCAUAUAUCUAAUGGUGAUAGUAUAUAUAUGCUGACAGUGUAUAUAAAAUUUAUUUAUUUACUUUAUAGAAAUAUCAGAUUUACAUUUUAUUAUCAUUUUAUGAGAUUAAAUUUACUUAACAAUAAAAUUUAGUUAACAAUAUUAGUUUCAUAUUUCUAUUUUUUACCUGUUAAAUUUACUUAAUAAUAUUGAUGUAACAAUAUUGUAUUUGUUUGGAUAAAAUAUUAUUUGAAAUAAUUAUUGUAACAUUUUUAUGAUAUAAUAUAUGUGAGAUAAAAAUGUGGUUAAAACUAUAAAAAUGUAGGUUGAAAAAGGUAGGUGAUAUCUUAUCACAAACACAAGAUUUUAUUGUUUAUGGACAUAUAGAUAGACAUGAAAUUGUCCUCAAUAAUAAAAAAAAAUUUAAGUACAAUUAUGCGUUUGAAGAUGAUCUGGCUCUUUCUGGCUUUACAUAUAAAGGGCAGCUUUUGAUUGAUCAAUUUUUGAAUCGCGCGCGUCUCCAUCGCAACGGUUCACCAUCUGUAAUUAUUUGGACAUCGGGGCGUACAGACGUGGAUUGGUUUGACAGAGUCUGGGAUUUAAAUGUCAAUUGUGCAAUAGGGAUCUCAGCAUUUUACGGCCAGCUCAGCUGCUAAGGAAUGAACGGUUCUUGUAGCUGGGAGCAGGAUAUGCUCCCCAAGGAGAUUUUCUCAAAAGGAAUAUCUCUUAAUUUUUCAUGGUGGAUACAAGCUUCUUUCGGCUUCCCUCCUGUCUGUCUAGUACAGGAGAGAAUAGAUUAUACAACAGUUAUCGUCUUGAAAAAAAAAUUUUAAAACUUCUAUUAUCCAGUUGGCCCAACCAAUUGGUCGUCGAAUUUUUUUCCACACAACUUAAUCAUUCAGAUAUUUUUAAUGAAUGGGAUAUCUUAAAAUAGUCAAGUCGAGUUACUGGAGGUACUUUUUUUUUUUUUUUUUUCUUUUUAACGUCAAAGUUUUAAUCCUGUUGCAUAUUUCGAUUUUAGUGCAUGUUUAUCUAUCAUUAAGAUAAUGAUUCACAUCAAUCAUGCUGCUUGACGAUUUUCAGCACUUUUGAUUGCCCUAUCUGUGUUGGAUAUGCUCAAAUUAUAAUUGAUGGACUUUAGGUGAGAGCGGGAUAUGCCUCCCAUGGAGAUUUCUCAAAAGGAAUAUCUCUCAAUUUUCGUGGCGGAUUGAAAAGGAAUGCUCAAACAUGUUACUUCUUCUUCCCCUUUUUUUUUGGCCUUUUUGAUGUGCAAAUUUUAAUUGUGUCGCAUAUUUCGAUUUUAAUGCUUGUUUUAUCUGACAUUAAAAGAGCAACGAUGUAUAUCAAUCGUGAUAUUGGACGAUUUUUAGCACUCUUGAUUGGCCUAUCUGUGUAGCAUAUGCUGACCAAAUGAUAAUUGAUGGAAUUUAGAUCCGAUCAGGAAUUACUCCGCAGAAAGGAGUGCACCUAGAUCCACGCAAGUAUUGUAAAGAGUUCUGGGAAACAACUGUAAUGGAGAACAAUUGGCUGGAGAGCAAUUGCAAGGUCAUUCGCUUAGCAAAAAGUAUGUGGAUCCUACUCCGUACGUUUUGUCGGCUUAUUCUUGGAAAUGGACUAUUCUAACCGGUUCUCACCCGAGUGGUCCAUUCCAGUGAUUCUGACAUCAUUCGACACAGUUUGUGGGAAAACUAUUUUAAGUGGUUGUCUUUUUAUCAACAAUUUUCUAUAGACAUCUAGAAAAUCAUAGAUAAAUGAUUCCUUCAUCUGAACUCUCUUUUUUUUUCUUUUUUUUUUUGUCGACACAGGGAUGUCCGGGUCAAUCCUUACAGGGCCCGAUUAAUCUCCUGCGAUCCGGGUUUAGCGCCCCAACCCGACCCUAGCACGAUAAGUGCGCGGAGAAAUCCAGCAGAGUAGAGACUCGAUCUCGGGACCUUAGGGGUCACUAGUGGAAGGUGCUACCGUUGGACCAUUCACGCGGGGCAUGCCUGCAUCUGAACUCGCUUUUGUGGAAAUUAUUCGUGUCACGUGACUGCAAUGGAUAAGCUUAUUAUCAACUGCCACUUGCACUAAAUGCUGUUAUGUAGUUGUUACGGUCCAGAACCAGGAAUUUUUGCAGGAAAUGGAAAUGAACUUCAGGAAAUGAUUCAAUAACUCACAAAUUCAGAUGAACUCAAACAAACAAUUCCAUUGCAUUAAUGAAUCUCAAAAUUUAGUUACAGAAACAGGAUUGGCGGGAAAAGAGGAGAAGGGGAAAGAGACCGAAGGAAAACAAACAAUUCCAUUGCAUUAAUGAAUCUCAAAAUUCAGUUACAGAAACAGGGUUGGCGGGAAAAGAGGAGAAGGGGAAAGAGACCGAAGGAAAACUUGAAGAAGAAGAAAAAAAGACAGAGAGGAUAUUCCUUCUCUGAUUACAAUAACAAAUUUCUCAAAAAGCUAAUGACAAUUGCAUGAUCCUCUCGUUUUAUACUGUUGCUACUCUAACUAACUUCCUCCAAGAGCGAAUGAGCGUCUAACACAUGUCCGAGGGGAUCUUUUAGCUAGACUGGUCCCCAGCAUCAGCAAAAACAACGUGAACCUAGCAAAGGCGUGGUUUCUUGAUCACGCCUUCUCUUGUUAUCCUCCUGCAACUUCCACGCCUUUCCACGCCUUCCUUUCUUCUUCCUUCACGCCUUCCUUCCUUUUCUUGUACAGCUAUUUCCUGACUUCAUUACAACACUCCUCUCUUGGAAGCAAUCUUGUCCUCAAGAUUGAAACUGGGGAAUUGUCUUUCGAUUUCUUCAGCAUAUUCCCAUGUGGCUUCUACAGGGUCUGUGCCCCACCAAUGAAUCAACCAUUGAACUACAACAACAUUUCUUCUUUUAACUAUUCUUCUAUCAAGCACAGCUACUGGCUCCACUUUCUAGUGACCCCUUUCGUCUAUUUCUGGCAGCUGGAGUGUAGGUGUGACCUUGUCUCCGAUCUUCUUCUUAAGUAGGGACAUGUGGAAAACAGGAUGCACCUUUGAGGUGGUAGGCAGCUUUAGUCUGUAAGCUACGUUACCAGUCUUCUCUUCUACCUUAUAGGGGCCAAAGUAUUUAGCUGAGAGUUUGGUGUAUCCCCUUAGGGCUAAUGAGCUCUGUCUAUACGGUUGUAGUCUCAGAUACAUCCAAUCUCCUUCACAGAAUACCCUCUCACUCCUCUUUUCAUCUACAUACUUCUUCACCCUCUCUUGAGCUAGCUUCAAGUUCUGCUUCAACGUGUUGUCCAUAUGUAGCCUUUCUCUGAUGUAAUCUCCAACUAUAGCCACUCUGGUCUGUAGGUAAGGUCCCAUAGCUAGCUAAGGGGGGGACAUGCCAUACAAAGCCUUGAAUGGGGUCAUUUGAAUGGCUGUGUGACGUGUGGUGUUGUAGCACCAUUCUGCCAAGGAUAGCCACUGGUUCCAUCCCUUAGGCUCCAGAUGAGUCAGGCAUUUGAGCUACAUUUCUAGCACCUGGUUAACUCUCUCAGUCUGUCCAUUAGUUUGGAGGUGGUAGGUUGUGCUGUAAUCUAGUUUAGCUCCCAACAUAGUGAAUAGUUCUCCUUAGAAUUGGCUGACAAAUAUCCUAUCUCUGUCUGGUAGCAUGCUUUGGGGUAUCCCAUGUAGCUUACUGACAUGAUCAAUGAAGAGUCUAGCUACCUUUGGGGCAUCAAAAGGAUGUGCCAUAUUGAUGACAUGGGCAUAUUUGGUAAAUCUGUCUACAACUACCAUUAUAGUGUCUUUCCCUUCUGAUUUUGGUAACCCCUCAAUGAAGUCCAUGGUGACAUGGCUCCAUGAAUGCUGUGGGAUAGGGAGAGGUUGUAGCAAUCUUGGGUAGGCCACAUGCUUAUCCUUACACUUUCUACAGAUGUCACAUUCCAGGACUAACUUCUUGAUUUCUUUGUAUAUUCCUGGCCAAUAAAAUAGUUGUUUAGCUCUCAUGAAGCUGGCCUAAAUGCCUAAAUGCCCCCCUAUUUGAGAGUCAUGCAAAGCAGUGAUGAGUUUCUUUCUUAUGUCUCCCUGUCCUCCUCCCACCACCAGUCUCUUCUUGUACCUGAGAACUCCUUCAUGAUAGGAGUAGUCUGGUACUUGGGUAGGAGUCAAUAACACUUGGGUUAUGGUUUCUUGAACCUAUUCAUCCUCCUUAUAGCUCUCAAUCACUUCUCUGAUCCAACUAGGCACUGCACAUGAAAUGGCUGUGCAAUCUCUUGUUUCCUCCCUGCCGUAUCUGGAGAGGGCAUUAGCUACCACAUUGUCCUUCCCUUUCUUGUAGUGAAUUUCAUAGCUUAGUCCCAGUAGCUUGGUGAGCCACUUCUGUUGGAGAGGGGUAGUGAUCCUUUGUUCCAACAAAUAUUUUAAACUUUGAUGAUCAGUGUGUAUGAUGAAGUGGUGCCCCUCCAAGUAGUGUCUCCAUUUGGUCACAGCAGUCACCAAUGCCAGUAGCUCCUUCUCAUAUAUGGACAGCCCCAUAUUCUUUUGCCCAAGGCCUAAAUGAAAUAGGAUAUAGGCCUCCUGUUUUGCAUC
rnacentral:lncRNA from 1 species